AGCCUUUGAGUUGUCCUAAGUUGCUCCCAAACAACGGUAGGCAAACAGUUGCAUGCUGAAAUAGGUGGCAGGUUGGCUUUAGCAACAUGCUGAGACAACUGUGGAGAAUUGUCACCGAAACAUAAUAUAAUCAACCAUCAAAUCAGCAUAAACACUACACAAGAGGAAUAAAUUUGCAGAAUAAAAAAUAAAGCAGUAUUACAAAUGUCUUUUUUAUAUAUAUAAUUGUCUGGUCUCAACAGGCCUGAACGGUACCAGUCAUGACGUCUGAGAUAACAGAGUAUACACAGAGAACAAACUGUCCAUUAAAGCAGAAACCCGACAUAAUAACACACAUAUCCGAAAAAGCAAAAGCUCACCCAUGAAAUAUUCAGAAGUCACACAUAGCACUUGCUAUUCUUUUUUAUAUAUAGUUUUCUGUUUUUUGGUUUUUUUGUAUGUCCAUCUACAUUUUUUUUAAUUUUUUUUGGUGUUUUCAUGCUCCCUUUUUCCGAACAAACUGGAUCUUCAUUCCUCAUCCGAAGUAGAAGAGUUGAGCAUGCCGUAACCAGUGAAAACUCGGCAUCUCUUUGUUGUGUAUCAAAAGGUAUCGCUUCUGAGUAAACUUCUCUCGGUCUGCUGCCCAAAAAUAGGCCCACUGCCAUUGCUGUGUAGUCCUCUGAAGGUAGGUGCUUGAUAGCCUAUACUAACUGAAGUUGCUGAUCUAGUAAGGAGAGCUUCACGAGGAUAGUAUGUCCCCUCAAGUCCAACAGAUUGAAGCUGAGACGCCAAUGAAUCAAUGUUGGAUGUCACGGGGGAACGUGAACCAGAAGAAUUUCCAUCAGAAUAAUUUGGUCUGGGAAGCAACCAAAUCUCCCAUCUUGCACGCCUCCGUAUUUUGUCACCCUAACAAAGCAGAAAAAAGUUAAGCCUUUCAAUGGGAACUGUGGUGUGACUGGUAGUAUGUCACCUAAGGAAUAUUUUGAUAAAGAGUGGUCAUAUUCAGGGUUCUUUGUCACCAAUGUUAAAUACAGAGCAAAAGGGAGCAUGCGGCGUUAUACGUGUACAACUAAGGAAAGCAGCGAGUGAACUGGAAUGUGACUGAUUCAAGUGACCUUCAUUACAAGUUCACAUAAGAAUUGCAGCAAUAAGCUGCCAAUUGUAGUAGUGUUUAAAAGUGCAAUCUGACAUGCCAAAUGGCGGCCUAGACUUGUAAUUAACAUAAUUUUUUGUUAAUCAAAGGAACUUUGCAAGUGAAGAUGUGGUGCUCUAUUCAUGUGUGAUGAAAUUUAAAAAAAGACAGCCUGGUGAAAUAUGAGAUCAUGUACUUCCUCCGUUCCUAAAUAUAGUCUUUUUAGAGAUUCCACUAUGCACUACAUAGUGAUGUAUAUUGCUCAAUUUACUCCGUAUGUAGUCCGUAGUGGAAUCUCUAAAGACUUAUAUUUAGGGAGGUAGUAGUAUAGAACCAUAAAAAUGCUCUAAGCAAUUGCUUCAAGAUCCCAUUGUGUGGUUGACCACCAAGGAUACUAAUAGAACUCUUCAGAUAAACAAGAAGGAUAAUCUGGACAUAAACAGGGCAUGCACUCUAAUAUUCUUACCCAGUUGUCUGUAACCAAAGGUGGACAUACAAGCUAUGCCCCGCUGCUAUUGCAUAAAGAGUGACAUAGUAGGCCAUAACUGAAGGAGGAGAUACAAACUUUUUGAAAUGAAUCUAAAUCAUGGUAUCUACAUUUGUGAAGAUUAUAGACCAAACUUAGCAUUGUUGAGUUCAGAAAGAGAAGCCAUUUUCUUUGGAACACUCCUACAACAUCUUCAGCAUGGCAAGAUAUGUUAGAAUAUCAUGUUCAACCCUUCUAAAGUUGUGCUUAAUCGGUUGUUUAUAAGUUAUUUAUAGCAUCACCAAUUAAGUUUAAUUUUAGAUUAAGUCAAAUCAUGGCAAAUGACAUCAGAAAAUUGAUUACCUGUACUUCCACCACAGUAGACUGCAUGACUGUAUCCAAGAUAAACUGUAAACUAUUAGUCAAGUUUUUGACUUGUCCAAUACAAUAUAGGAGCCUUUGGACCUGUGCAAAAUAAUUUAGUUGAGCAAUCUGUCCUUUUCUUGUAAUAAAGAAAACAAAAUAUUUUUUUGAAUACUCUGGAUAGAGUUGUCUCAUCUCAUUAUGCUCAGAAAAGAACACCACAUUUACUAGGCAAUGACCCUUUGAUAUACCAACAGAUGUAGCUUUCGGGAAAAAAAGGGUAUAGCAACAGAUGCACAAGCACAAUUUUUCACAGCUAUAAAUGCUUAAUGAAGUAUAGUGUUGAAUAAGGGCAAACCACAGUCAGCACAAUACACCUGGCAGCUACAAAACAAAAUAGAGUAGCAGAAAAGAGAAAUGGCUCCCUUUCGAACUUGAAAUCUCCAAAACUUUUAACGAGCCCUUUGUUAGCUCUACAAUGAAAAUAUGUGCAAGCCACUUUCAGAGUAGUUUGUGUAUUGUAAGUGACACAUGCUAGGGCUGAUAAGGAUCUCAGGACCAAGGAGUGUAGCAAUGAGGGUAUGGCUUCAAGGAGUGAGGCUAGAGCCAUGGCUCCGCAGAUGAGAGGGAGAAAAGGUUGGGGACAGGGAUUAUAACUUUACUAGUAGUUGAUAAUUCUCAUUGAUUGCAUAAUACACAUGGAUAGAAAAGUCUGACUUGGUGCUGGGAAAGAGGAUCUCUAGUUUCCUAACAAAUGGUAUUUGUACAUUCCUAACUAGAUCGAUCUCCUGCCUUGCAAAACUAUAACUAGUGAAAAGAAAAAUAAGAGCAUUCACUUGGCAAUCUUAUGGGCCAUACCACUGUCUUGCUUAUCUCAACUAUUAAAAAUAAUGCACAUCCAGGACAGAAUGACGCAAAAAUCCACAACAUUUAAACAAGCUAAUGACUAAUCCAGAAGUAUUCCAAGCAUAACAGACAAUCAAAAGUUUUCAGGUCAACAUGACAAGAAGAUGGAGUCAUGGAGAUGGUAUUCUGGAUACACAAUAGGAAAGGGCAAUCAUUCUCAACCUUGGGAAUAAAACUGGGAAUCUACAGAGACAAAAAUCUACUGAUGUCUGCACCAGUUUUUGCUAGCGUCAUGCGACUUUAAGUUUGUUGAGUACAAUAUGAGAAAGCUUAAUCACAUCAAACAAUCAUGCUGACAAGCGAAAAAAUGGAAAAAAUUGUUCUAAAAGAUAACCUGUUUUUCUAUGUCAAAUAUAAUUUUCAAGUAUAACGUACUUUUUGGGACAAAUGUACACAUAAUUUUCAAGUAUCCAAUCUAAAUAUAAUCAAAAAUACUAGUCAAAGUUUUGAGGUUUGACAUUGCUAAUGUCCAGAACGGCAGCUUUUAGGGAUCGUAAAAUUCUAGCAAAUAUAUGAGCAAGACCAAAACUGUUGAAAACAAGAAAAAAUGGAAAAAAAAUUGUUCUAAAAUAUAACUUGCUUUUCUAUGUCAACACUUUAAAGUUCAUAAAUGAGUUAAACUAAUUGUAGGUUCCUUUAAAGUGACAACCAUUGACUAUAUAUAUAGCAGCGACAUUCUUCCAAGCCUUGCAUAAAUACGAGUGACAGUCUUCAACUAUUUCCGUCCAGAAAAAAACAUUUUAACUGCAGACAGUUCACGACAGAGUGGCAGGAAUUGCCCGAAACAGAACUUGAUUGCAGGUGCUACCAAUGAAGUGUUGAUACAUAUGCACUCUACAAUAAACAAUAAUAUAAAGAUAUAUUGAAAACGGCUUGUGAAGUGGUGGGCCAGCAUAGAUGUUACAGGUGGAGCUACAAGGAACACAAACCGUCAGUCCAUGCAAAGUUCAUAUAAAUCUGUGGUGGCAAAAGAAGGUGAAUUCAAGUGCAACAUUACCAGAUCAUACAUAUUCAUAGCAGACCCCAGGAAUUUAGAUAUUAUUUUCCAACUAAAAAUUAAGGAAUUUUGAUAUUAUUUCAUGGAGAAGGUACUUCCUAUAUUCAUGUUAUCGCACUGGUGGUGCACACGACCAGGAGCAGUAGUCCUUUGAGAGACGGUGAAUUUUAACAUGUUCCACCCAAAAACAUGACCACCAGCGCUCCUCUAUUCUAGCAGAACCCAGGAAUUUAGAUGCUCCCUCCGUCCAGAAUUAUAAGAUGUUCCAACUUUUUUUCAUGUGUAUAGACGCGUUUUUUCACUCAUUUCAGUCAGUAUGUAGUCCAUAUUGAGAUAUCCAAAACAUCAUAUAUUUCGGAAGGGAGUAUUAUUUUCCAACUCAAAGAAAGGAAUUUAUAUAUUAUUUCAGAGACACUGUACUUCCUAUGUUCAUGUAACAGAACAUAGAUAUUCAUAGCAGACCCCAGGAAUUUAGAUAUUAUUUUUCAACUCAAUUUUUAUUUUUUACAUCAUGGCUCGCCCCCGCUCCGCUCGUCCCUCCUAGCUCCGCAUUGCCCGCAGCCCCGCCGCCGUUGAAUCCCCGUCGGUAGCCGACCCUCCCUUCCCAGCCCCGCCGCUGCUAUGCCAUGACGUCGUCCAACGCGGACCAAGCCGACCACGGAGCGACCCUCUUCGGUGAGCUCGUGUCCUCCGGUGACCGCUAGCUCGACUCGGGGAGCAAGUCCUCCGCGCGUUCCUACUGCAAGGUCGCCCGCCAUCCCUGCCGACGCACCCUGCCCCUGGCCCCGCGGCGCCACCCAGGCAGCCUGUCAGGAGCCGCCUUGGCCCCCGCUCCGAGGUGCACCGAGCCUCCGACGCCAACGCGGAUGGUUUCCGCCGUUGUCGCCCGACCAUGGUGGCCAGCCCCGCCCACUAGCGCACCGCCCGGCACGGACCCGGGCCGGGACCAAGGGGCCGACAACGACCCAGGCCAUGGCCACGGCCCUGGACGUGCACGUCGCCGCGGCCGCAAGUGUAGGCGCACGGAACCUCAGCCCACCGGCCGCCAACAGCAUGGCGGUGGACAACCUGGGAUGGCACGCCGGUCUCCAAACCUCCCGUGCGGAUGGUGUGGCCACGGCGACGGGAUGGCUUGUCCCGCCCGACACGUAUGGCCGCUCAGCCAAGGAACGACAUGCUAUCGUGGCCUAGUCAGCCUAGAGCCCACCAUCGUCGUCACCCUGCCAAAAAAGGAAAGGGUAAAAGGCAAGAUAAGCCCACUUUACCCAUGGGCCAGGAGGGCAGCGCUAACGCUACCCCUGAGGGCGCGAUAUCAGGCUUGGCAAGGACAGCUGGCAACGCACCAAUGGUUGCGGCUGCAUCGGAUCCGUUUGGAAUCUCUAUAAUCCGGAGGCCACCCACGAGCCUGAGACGAUCGCACGGGACCACCAGCCACCUCCCUUGAUGGGCUUGUCACGACCUGGCCGUUCUUAGCAAGGUCCCAGACUCGCAAGCAGGACGUGCCAGAACAGAUAGCCUCCAUGUCGGGGCAAAGUGGUGCUCACCCGAUUACUGAUGUCAAGAUGGGGCCGAUCCCAUGCACGAACAAGUCCACGACCCAAUCCGCGCGCGAAGAGAUGGAUCGUGAGGCGCACGAUCUUGACUCCCCUCUCUGGCCCGCACACCGCCGAUCCCACCCUCAAAAGGAUCACUACCGCCCUCCCCAGACCAGCGGGACCCGCAGGCACCCAUGCAGAAUUUGAUGGGCCCAAUCACUCCCGGGCCUGCUCCGGCUACCAGCUCCGGUCCCGAGCUGGCACGUCAGAACAUGCAUGGGUCUGGGCCAGGCCGCUUCGCUACCCCACCAUCAUCAUGCGCCGAUCACGCGGACGCGCAACAACCGCUCACUCCUGGACGCUAGGAGACUUCUUGGCCGCAGCCACCAAAGAGCUCAACGUGUUGCUGCCGGCGCCUAGGAAGAGACCACGCGACCCUCNNNNNNNNNNNNNNNNNNNNNNNNNNNNNNNNNNNNNNNNNNNNNNNNNNNNNNNNNNNNNNNNNNNNNNNNNNNNNNNNNNNNNNNNNNNNNNNNNNNNNNNNNNNNNNNNNNNNNNNNNNNNNNNNNNNNNNNNNNNNNNNNNNNNNNNNNNNNNNNNNNNNNNNNNNNNNNNNNNNNNNNNNNNNNNNNNNNNNNNNNNNNNNNNNNNNNNNNNNNNNNNNNNNNNNNNNNNNNCCACCACGCCACCCACCGCCGAAAGACGCGCACAAGUUCAGGUGCUUCGCACACUUGGCAUCGUUGGGACCAACCAGAAGAUCUCAGCCGUUGAGAUGAAGGCAUACAACAACUUGCUUGUGGCGCCCAUCCCGUUGUCAGUGCUAAGGGCCAUCGUUGCACUAGUCAAUCGCGAGAACCCAGCUUGCUUGCCGUCGCAGCAGACUGCCCCGGCGUGCGUUGACAUCGCGUGCGAGACUUAGGGCUCUCCUAGCAGUCCCUCCCCCGUUGGUCCAAUCUUUUAUGGAUCACGGCCUCAAGAUCGUCGUUUUGAAUGUGUGUCGGCUCAAGGCAUGCACGCGGUGCCUUGCUAUCCGCACACAGCUUGACACCACAGACGCGUCCAUUGUAUGCUUGCAAGAAACGAAGAUGGAGUUGCUUUGCUCGCCUUUGUCCUUGACACGCUAGGCUCGGAGUUUGACAACUACACGUACCUCCCGGCCCAGGGAACGUGCAACGAUAUAUUCUUCUCGCGUGGAAAAGCAGUGUCGUGACUAUCACGACCCCUUUGUUCACCGCCAACGCACUCUCGGCCAAGGUCGCCACAACCGCCGACACGCCGUGGUGGCUUAUGGUUGUCUACGGACCUCAGGAAGAAGUGGCCAAGGUCGCCUUCUUGCAGGAGCUGCGAGAGAUCCGAGCAAGCUGCCCCAGACCUUGGAUGCUUUGUGGUGACUUCAAUCUCAUCCUUUGCACCAAGGACAAGAGCACGAGCAAUCUCAAUAGACGCAUGAUGGCCAAAUUCCGCCGACUCGUCAACGACCUCGCACUCAAGGAGGUCUGCCUCAAUGGGCGCCAGUACACAUGGUCGAACGAGCAGUCACCGCUGACGUUGGUGCACCUUGGCCACGUGCUGUGCACCUCGAACAAGAAGACGCACAUGGUGAAUGCCACCUACGGUGCCUUGCGUCUGUCGUGUCGGACCACUGCUCGUUGUUGCUGGAUUGCGUCCCCGCGCCUAUGAUGCAUCGCAGAUUCCAUUUCGAGGACCACUGGUUGCGCAUGGACGGGUUCCACGAUAAAAUGACCACGACUUGGGGUUCCGCUCAUGACCCGGACCCAUUCCGCCGCUGAUGCUGCGCCUACAAGCCACAGCGCGCAGCUUGACGAGUUGGAGUGCCAAAGCAGUAGGCAACGUCAAGGCCAAGCUGGCUGUUUCACACGAGCUCAUUGCGCACUUUGACAAGGCCCUGGAAGAAUGCAUCCUCACGCCUCCUGAAGACUGACCGCGCAAACAACUGAAGGUUUCUUACCCUGGCCUCGCGUCCCUGGAGCAUAUGAUUGCAAGACAGCAUGCCCGCCUCGCCAACCUCAAAGACGAAGACGCCAACACCGCCUUCUUCCACCGACAAUGCUCAGCCUCUCCAUGCACGGCACGGUGCUCACCGAGCACGACGCAAUGGCGGGGGCUGCAUUAUCCGGCACUACGAUGCCCCGGCAUAGCGUAGAGCGCAAACACACGAUGGACCUGUCGCGAGCUCAUCGAGGGGAGCGAUCUCUCAGAUCUUGACGUGCCCUUCUGCCCAACGGAGAUCUGGGAAGCCAUAAAGCGCCUGCCCGCGCGCAAGUCGCCAGGGCCCGAAGGCUUUACUGCUGAAUUCUUGCGGGCGUGUUGGAGCACCAUCAAGUAGGAUUUCGUGGACGUGUUCCAGCAGCUAUUCGAGCUACGCAGCCGAGGCUUCUGCAAGUUAAACCACGCCCUCCUAAUGCUCAUGUCGAAGUGUGUCGACACCGAAGAGCUGCACGAUUAUUGCCCGAUUUGCUUAAUCUAUAUCAUGGCCAAGAUCUUCACCAAGGCACUAUCGUUGCUGCUUUCCCUAAAGCUGGAUCUCCUUGUCAGCCGCAAUCAAAACGUGUUCAUCAUCGAAAGAAGCCUCCAUGAUAACUUCGUGCUCGUCAGGCAAUCACUCCAGCUACUGCACCAACUAGGUGCCCCCAGAGUGAUGCUCAAGGAGAUCCAGAGCCAUCGUAAUAUGAGCGUUGACAAGGAGGGUUCGGGAACCGCUUCCUCGAGUGGGUUGCUAUCCUCUUGUCCUCCGCCAGCACUCGCGUCUUGAUGAAUGGUGUACCAGGCCCCCCUAUUUGGCACCAAGAAGGGCUUCAGCACGACAACUCCUUGUCCCUGCAACUAUUCGUCCUUCAGCGCGCCCAUGAAACUGACAUCCUUGCACAGUUGCAUCCCCAGAGGCUGAUUACAAAGAUAUCGCUCUACGCCGACGAUGUCAUGCUCUUCUGCCAUGCCACAGAGAGCGACGUGUCCGUGAUCAAAGAGAUCCUUGCCUUGUUUGGCAGAGCGUCCGGCCUAAAGGUAAACUACGCUAAGAGCUAUGCCACGGUCCUGCAUGGGGACCAGACCACCGAGUCCAUAUCCAGCUUGGGAUGCCCAGUCACCGAGCUCCCGAUCACCUACCUCGGCAUCCCCUUGACGACGCGCCGCCCCUCCGCUGCGCAACUGCAACCCCUCGUCGACAAGGUCGCCGACCGCCUGCCCAUUUGGAAGGCAUGGCUCAUGAACAAAGCCGGCAGACUGGCCCUUGUCAAGUUCAUCCUUUGUGCCAUCCCGGUCCACCAGUUGCUUGCGUUCGCUCCUCCGAAGAAAACCUUGCAACAGGUCGAGAAACUUCAGAGGGGAUUUCUCUGUUCUGGGCACGCUAUGGCCAAGGGAGGGCAUUGCCAUGUCACUGGCGUCAUGUUUGCCGCCCACACGAGCUUUGCGGCCUUGGAUUCCGCGACUUGGAGCGCACCAGGCUUGCGCUCAGAUUACGAUGGCUCUGGCUCUCGCGAACAGACCCAGCAUGCGCUUGGCAAGGGCUGGACCUCCAAUUCUCCAGCAACGAGCGCGUGCUUUUCUCCACAUCUACCUACACAACCAAUGGGAACGGAAUGAGCGCCUUAUUUUGGGAGGGGAUCGAUGGCUCAAUGGGCGGUCUAUUGGCGAGCUCAUGCCCGCACUCUACAGUUGCAUCCCAAAACGCUCAUGCAAGGCCAGAAUGGUGGCGAAAGGGCUCCAUGGCAAUGCCUGGGCUCGUGACAUUCACGGCGUUCUUGGCAUCCACGAGAUUAGCCAAUACCUGCAGCUUUGGCACAUCACGCAAAGCACUACACUCACUGACACCCUGACCAGCUGAUCUAGAAGUGGACUGCAAAUGGCAUCUACUCGGCGCAAUCCUGCUACGCGGCCACUUUCCAAGGCUCAAUGCACUGCUACUCAUGGAAGCUAAUUUGGAAGUCUUGGGCGCCGCCUCGGGUCAAAUUCUUUCACUGGCUGGCCAACCUCGACCGCUGCUUGACCGCGGAUUGUUUGGCUCGCCACGAUCUACAACAUCACCCACGCUGCCUACUCUGCGAUCUGGCGCCAGAAACGAUACGACACUUGCUGCUGCACUGCCCUUUCACAUGGCAGGCAUGGCAUGAGACGUUGCCUGGCUUCGCAUAUCGACGAAGAUCCCCAACCAAGAGCCCACACUCAUGGACUGGUGGUGGCACGCCAAGGCCAACAUGCCGCAGAUGCAGCGCAAGGUCCUGCAAUCCAUCGCGCUCCUUGUAGCAUAGGGAUAGUUGCGUCUUCGACAACACAACGCCCUCCCUAGACAUGCUAUUGGUUAGAAUCAAGGAGGAAGCCUGCCUCUGGGCAAAGGCCGAAGCCGCAGGACUUAAGAGUGGUUCUGCCCCCUUCAUGGGAUGUGCAUUAAGAGUCUGUAACCUGAUAACCCGAUCGUCCGCCCUCAGACGCUUGUAACUAACUUCCUUUUCAGCGAAAAGAAACGCAAAUCUUUUGCAUUUUCUUGAAAAAAAAAUAACUCAAAAAUAAAAGAAUUUAGAUAUUAUUUCAGGGACAAUGUACUUCCUAAAUUCAUGUUAUCGCACUGGUGGUAGUCCUUAGUGCGAAGGCAGCGCUCCUACUGGUUGCUAGAAAAAAAAUGCAAGUUAUACAUUUUUGUUUCGCUAUAUGGUCAUGUUAGUAACAUUACAACGCCAUUUUUUUUAUAAAAUGUUGCUAUCAAUGUCCAAGUGCGUCCAAUACAAACCACUACGUACAACUUUAAUUUUCAUUUCCUCUAUACUGAUCAUUUAUCCAAACAUUGCUACUACAGAACUAUGGGCUGUCAAGUACAGAAGCACGUGAUAAAUUUCUUUAGUUUGAAGGAACAAGUGUCAAUUCAUGUUCAAUUGCAUCCAAACCAGAAUUUAAAUUAUCUUGGCGUAAAUUUCCAUGUUCUGAUUUCAUUUGCAAGCAAUGAAUGCACACAUCCUAAGACAAUCUAUAUUUUUUAAUGCAGGGAGGUCAGAUAAUAAAACACAAGUGCCAGUGUUAGAAAAUGAUUUGCCAAAAGUAGAAGAAAGAAUCACAAGGUUCAGUGUUUGCAUUUGGACAAAAGAACUAGGACUUACAUAGCACCAUAAACCAAGCAUUGGAGCACACAAUGCGCCGAAUUAACUAACUAUCAAGGGUAGAGUCCGAAAGUGCACGAAUAAUUGCAUAGAUUGAGGCUCUUUAUUUGAUGUUACUUAGAAGUGUCAAUGCUAUUUGUGUAUGGCCAGAUUUCAUUUUAUUGAAAUCCACAACAAACGGCUACAUUUAAAGAGUACUUGAGUAUGUCUCUUCUUGUAACCCGAGAACUUACACCGAUCAGGUAACAGGGGAAGAAAGAAUCAUAAAAAAUUAACUUGGAACAGAUUUAUCUAAUUUAAGAUGUGCAGGAGCUGAAUUCCAAUGCAACUGUAGCUUCAUGUGGCAGAGUCUAAAUUUUCUAGGCAUGAUGUAAAGCUCUUUACCCAAGUUAUAUCAACCACACCAUAAGUAUACAUCCAAUGUCCAACUGAUAGCAAAUCAACCACACCAUUACUAAACAUCCAAUGUUAACUGAUACCAAAAUAGCAAACCUGCAAACUCAGUUUGAAUGGAUAAAAAAAUGCUAAAUGACAACUCUCCAUCUCCCACUCAAUCAGCAAGUAAACAACUAUAGAAGGUGACCAGAACAUUACUAGACUAUUGAUGACUUUCCGAAUAGACUGCUGGAUUAUAGUAGCAAAGCAAUAAAGAACUGGGGAUUUUUCUAAAAUAAAACCACCGUGUAAAACCAGCAAACUAACCUGGUUAAAGCCAGCAAUCAAGGAUAAUGGCACCCAACCACGGUCAUCCAUAUGUCUCCUCAAGAAUAUGUCCUUGCACAAAUUUUCAUCACUGCAAAAAAUGAGCAAGCGGGCAAGCGGCUCAAUAAAAUGACCUCAGUGGUGGCGUAGUGUUUUCUAUAAAUUAAGACGGAGAAAUACCUAAAGUAGUAGUCUAUCUGCACCAGUAGGUCCCUUUGAAGUUGUUCCAGUGGAGAAAUUAGCAUGGCUGGAGGGGUUGGUGGAGGAGGCGCAAAAGGAAGGGCUUGAAGACCAUCCGAAGGGGGCACGGCAAAAUAGUAAACAUGAGGUGCCAUCUCUGCUGUUUAAAAUAAAGCAAAUUAAGGUGACAUAACAAUUGCACAAAGCCAUGUUCUCACAAAGAGCAUGAAUAACAUACCAGGGAAUCCCAUAGGCGCCCCAUAAGGUGGUGUCUGUGGAGCAGCAGUUCCAUAAGGUGGUGUCUGUGGAGUGGCAGGGCCGGCAAAUGGUGGCGCAGGAGGUCCCGCCGCUAAAACAGCCAGAGGAGGAGGAGCCCUAAUGAACGAUGGCUGGUGAACUCGAUGCUGGUGCCCUGGCCCAUGUCCAUCUCUACGGCCGCCACCACGCCGUUGCCCAUCAAACCCACCAUGGUGCUCAUGACCAUGGCGACUACCACCUCCACCAUUACCCCUUCUGCUCCCCCCACCAUAACUGCCACCUCGGCCAUGAGGAUGGGAACCAAAACGGCCAUUUUGAUGAUGAACGCCGGUACCAUUGCUCCGGGCAUUAGGAGAGUAUCCUACAGAUUGCUCUGGAAUAAGAGCAUGCAUCUCUGGCCCGUCAUCCCCUGCAGGCAUCAUCAACACACGCCGGACUGGUGGACUACUGGUCACGUCGUCCUUAACAGUGGUAGCAUCCGGAGCGCCAGAGAUGUCCAAAGACACCGGUAAAAUCACUGUCUCCUGAGACCAUUCCCACAAACAAUCAAAACACAAUCUGGUCAGACCGUACAAAAUAUAAACACCAAAAAUCCUAAAUAGAUCAAACACUGAGACAGGAUCCAACUCCUAUAAUACUAAGUAAAUCGAACACUGAAAUAAACUAACAGCUCACAGUGGAAGGAGGAACGUACCAGUGCAUCCUGAUCAGGGGUAGCAUCCGGAGCGUCGGAGAUGUCCAAGGACACGGGCAAGAUAGCUGCCACCUGAGACCAUUCCAACAAUAGCAAAAGCAAUAUCAUCAGACGGUACGAAAUCUAACCGCAAUAAAUCAUAAAUGAAUCAAGCACUGAUACGAAAUCCAACUCCGAUAGUAAGUAAAUCAGAAACUGAGAUGAACUGACAACUCACAGUGGAAGGGGGAGGAGCGGCCUUAGGCGACGCCUUGGGCGGUGUGGGCGGCUGGGGAGAGGCCAGCCCAGGAAGCGCCGGCCAGGAGUCGGCGUCCAUGAUGGGGCUCCCGGGCGCCACCAGCACCGGCCCGUUCUCCGGGCGCUUCCACGCGGUGGCGGCCGCCCUCUUCGCCGCGACGGGACUACCGUGGGGCGGCGUCCCCGCGCCAGCGAGGGCAGCGUGCGGGUCGGCGGCAACGGAAGCCAUCCUCCACACCUCCUCUAUCCGAUCGGGCGGUGCAGGUUCCACGGGGCGAUGAAUCAAACGCGGAGGCGGUCGGCGGGGAUGACGAUGGCGGAUGGCGGCGGGAUCGGUUCUCAGUGGUACGGCAUGGGUCGAUCGGGGCCGAGAGUUCCAAAUAUUGCCGCGCCGGCGGCGAUCGGAUCGGGGAGGGGGAGCAGCGGGAGGACGAGGAGGAGGCGGUGGUGCGGCGCGGCGGCUCGCUGCUCUUCCCUACCCUUCCCUUCCCACGGGCGGAAUGGACGCGGAGGGGAUCGCCCCCUUGCCGGUGGGGCACAAAAGGGGAGCCGCACGCAGCCAGCCAGGUCCAUUCACACCGUCCCGGGCCGUCCGAUCCGGAUCGAUCGACGGCCGUGGUGCCUCGUGGGCCCCGGCGCCGCUCUAAAGUUGCUCGCGCUGGCGUCUGCUUGGCUGACGAGCGCGCUGGCGCCGCACCACCUGGCCCACCUGGCUGCGGCGCUGGUGGUUGCUGUGGGUGUGACACCUCGGGGGAGUGGGACGGCCGUCCGAUGGAACAUCGACGGCUGCGAGGUUGCGGAGGAUCCACGUCCGGGCAAAGCGUCGUCCGGAUUCGCAAAUCCACCGGCUGCGGACUGCACACGCCGCCCCCGCUACGGCUGUUGCUGGAUUUCAAUAAGUGCGCGUCUCUUCGUUAAACAGACGGAAUUAGCGGACGAGAAAUGUUACUCUGGUUGCGUGUAUCUUCGAUUCAGAUUCGCUGACUUGCCGUCUGGUCUCGUCGGUUGGAUUGAAAAGCGGCGGUUCAGAUCGGAUGCUACAGUGUGGUUAACAUUGAUGUGCUUAACAGUAAUUCCUAUGAACAGUGAUUUGGCAAAUCUCAGCCUACAAUUCUUGAUCCCGCGAGAAAGGCAGCGGGGACUUACUGUGGCUAAGUCAGUGAAUCCGGUCGCAACAUGAUACUUUCUAUUUCGACGAUAAACACACAAUAGGUUUAACGAUCUAUUUGUCAUGGACGUAAUGCCUAUACACUGAUAAUGCCAUGAAUAACGUCAUAAGUAUGUGUUUUUCUAUCAAUUGCCCAACAAUAAUUUAUCUACCAACUGUAUGCUAUGUUCUUGAGAGAGAUUCAUCUAGUGAAAACUAUCGCCUCCGGGUCUAUUCACCAUAUUUACUAAAAUCCUAAAAAGCCCACUGCAAUUUACUUUUUUUUAUUUUCUUUUGCAGUUUAUAUAUUUGUCACCAUCAGAAUUAAUCCUUGCAAUUAAGUACAAGGGGAUUGACAACCCUCUUGCCCGCGUUAGGUGCAAAUAUUUAGUUAGUGUGUGUAUGCACUAUCGACCUUUGUCUGCGUGAAUCUCCUAUUGGUUUGAUAAACCUUGGUUCUCUACUGAGGGAAAUACUAUCCGCUAUUAUGUUGCUUCUCCCUUCCUCUUCGAGAAAAACCCAAUGCAGCUCACAAGUAGCAGUACAUAAUUCCUAUUAGCAAGUAUAAGCACAACAUUCACUCUACCCAUAGGUUUUUUAAUUGUACAAUACACCAAGUGCAAUUUAAAGAACAUUCAUCCAUAUUAGUGAAACCUAGGACAACAUAUAAAGCUUUAGGCAUAGUUGAAACAUGAUACGUCUCCAACGUAUCUAUAAUUUUUUUAUUCUUCCAUGUUGUUAUACUAUCGUUAUUGGAUGUUUUAUAUUCAUUUUAUAGCAACUUUAUAUCAUUUUUUGGGACUAACCUAUUGCCAUAGUGCCCAGUGCCAGUUGCUGCUUUUUGCUUCGCAGAAUAUCCAUAUCAAACGGAGUCCACACGCACCGAAACUUUUUGAAGAUUUUUUUCUGCCUAGAAAAUAACCUGGGAGCCAAGGAAGUGCAGGAGGGAAGGCCUGUGGGGCCCACAAGGCACCAGGGCGCGCCAGUGGCCCCUAGUGUUGGGAAACGUAGCAUGCAAUUUCAAAAAACUUCCUACACUCACGCAAGAUCUAUCUAGGAGAUGCAUAGCAACGAGAGGGGGAGAGUGUGUCUACGUACCCUCGUAGACCAAAAGCGGAAGCGUUUGACAACACGGUAGAACUUCUUCUCGUUCCGACCGAUCAAGCACCGAACGUACGAUACCUCCGAGUUCUGCACACGUUCAGCUCGAUGACGUCUCUCGAACUCUUGAUCUAGCAAAGUGUCGAGGAAGUAGAUGAGUUCCGUCAGCACGACGGCGUGGUGACGAUGAUGGUGAUGUGAUCCGCUCAAGGCUUCGCCUAAGCACUACGAGAAUAUGACCGAGGGUGUAAUCUGUGGAGGGAGACGUCGCACACGGCUAAAAAUUGUUGGUGUGUGUUCUAGCGGUGCCUCCCCCACAUAUAUAGGUUGGAGGGGAGGAGAGGCAGCCAAGGGGGCGCCCCAAGUAGGAGGAAUCCUACUUGAGGUCCUCCCAAUUUGGCCUCCCCCUUUCCUUUUUACCGGAGGGGGGAAAGGGAAGAGAGGGGGAGGAAGGAAAGGGGGGCCGAACCCCCUCCUCCUUCUCCUAUUCGGCCUCCUUCCUUAGGGGCACACUACCCCUUUGUGGGUUGGUGUGCUCCCCUCCUAUGGCCCAUAAGGCCCAUUAAUCUCCCGGGGGNNNNNNNNNNNNNNNNNNNNNNNNNNNNNNNNNNNNNNNNNNNNNNNNNNNNNNNNNNNNNNNNNNNNNNNNNNNNNNNNNNNNNNNNNNNNNNNNNNNNNNNNNNNNNNNNNNNNNNNNNNNNNNNNNNNNNNNNNNNNNNNNNNNNNNNNNNNNNNNNNNNNNNNNNNNNNNNNNNNNNNNNNNNNNNNNNNNNNNNNNNNNNNNNNNNNNNNNNNNNNNNNNNNNNNNNNNNNNNNNGUACCCUGUACACCCUCAAACACUUUCUGUGUCCGAAUGUCAUAGUCAUAUAUAUGAAUCUUUUACCUCUCGACCAUUUCGAGACUCCUCGUCAUGUCCGUGAUCUCAUCCAGAACUCCGAAAAACAUUCGGUCACCAAAUCACAUAACUCAUAUAAUACAAAACCGUCAUCGAGCAUUAAGCGUGCGGACCCUACAGGUUCGAGAACUAUGUAGACAUGACCGAGACACCUCUCAAGUCAAUAACCAAUAGACACUAGUACAGCGACAUCCUAAACAAACGGUUUAAAACCCCUUUCCGCGACGACAUUUGGAACCGUCACCAAGUGAGCAUGGGCGAUAGGGGGGUCCUUUCCACACGACCCAGAAAUCGUCGAGGAUAGGCCCUCGUGGGACCCAGGCUGGGGCCGUGUGCGAUCGGGCGAUGCAUGAAAACCCAAUCAUUUCCAUAGGUAUGUACAUCCCACACGGUGAAUCCCAGAAAUCAUUUCCGUAGGUAUGUACAUCCCACACGGUGAAUCCCAGAAAUCAUUUCCGUAGGUAUGUACAUCCCACACGGUGAAUCCCAGAAAUCAUUUCCGUAGGUAUGUUCAUCCCACACGGUGAAUCCCAGAAAUCAUUUCCGUAGGUAUGUACAUCCCACACGGUGAAUCCCAGAAAAUCAUUUCCGUAGGUAUGUACAUCCCACACAGUUUUUUGUGUGGAAACGUGUGUGCAAGGUGGCCUAACGCAAACAGUUCGCUGUCGGAAGCCGUGUGUGAUUGUUAGUUGAUUGAACACGCCUACUUUCUAGAAAUCGUGCGGGUUGUUUGAGUUCACCGCCCAUGGUGCUGUCUGAGUAACCGUUUGCAAUAGAAAACCCCAAUAAGUAGGGUAAUUAGCCUAUUAUUAAUAAUCCAUGUACUGAUCAAACUGAUAUUUCUUAUAAAACACGCCAGAUAUUUCAUAUUCGUAUAAAAGCAACCAAGAUUUCAUAAUUGAAUUACAUCAGAUAGCUUCGGCACUCAGUUACGCCAUUACACAACAGCACCAAGUUUCACAUGCAGCGUGAAAAACCUUUGGAAAGUAGCAUCAUACACAGUAAAUAGACAUGUGAAUUUCAUCUGGGAAACUGCACAAGCGAAAGGCAAAUAUUGAGCCUUCAGUGAUGUUGAAUGUCCUUGCAACUUUAGGCCAGUGGCUAUGGAUAAUUGCCCGCCCAACCUUCGUCCUCUUUAGCGGAACUUCAAUAUUGUACCGUGGGUGUUGAAUGAGUACCUUCCUCGCCUCUUGACCAUGCAGGUGGUUUGAGAGGUAAUCAUCGGUGAACUGCUUUGAAAAGUAUUGAAAAUGAAGCUAUGCAUAAAUCGCUGUUGUAAAUUUUGAAAUGGUGCAAGGGGUAAAAACAAGGUAAAAGAGUUGGUACCAUCCUAUAGUUGACCGAUGUCUUCUUCAUUGUGUAAGCAAAGAUCUUGCUGUUAUUCGUCGCAAGUUUCUUCAUCGUAACAAUCUUCCUGAGUUUCUUAACUUGACUGAUAUUCAUGGACAUCUCAUUUCCUCAUAUGCAAAAUGGGUCGAACGGUGGGUCUAAGCCUCUGACAACAGGACCUACAUGUGCAAGACCAAAUUGUAAGAAACCUAAAUAUUAGAAUGAUUCCUGCAACUGCACAAUAAUGUGCUAUUAGCCAAAGGACCCUGCUUGAACAAACCUCGAUGGUAAACCGCAGUGUCUCCCAUUGUUUCCCUACAACACACAUAAGGAAGAUCUUGACCAGGUUAACUGAGAGUUGCCAUACUAUCAUGUCGGUGUACAAAAGUAGGGGCUCUCCUUUUGACCCCUUUACUUGUGCACGGGUAGUCAGAGCCGCGCCCACGGCCACACUAAGCAGGGCGGGGGAGGGAUGCCGGAGCAACACCAAGGCCAGAAACACUGAAGAACAAAGGGGCAAGGUGGACUCCCCCGGCAAGAUCCUUGCCGAAGCGACCUCCGCGGCCCCGGCAAGAGCCUUGCCGGGGCAACUUGCCCAACACCAGCAGAGCGAGCCGCCCUUGAGCCCAGGAGUUCCAAACACCGCCAACAACUACAUUGAAACCAAGGCUCGGGAGGCACCUCUGUGGUGACAUGCAGAUCUUUGUCAAGAUCAUGAACACGCAAGAUCAGAUGAGGACCAGAAGACGACGACCCCCGGCGAGACCCUUGCCGGGGACGACCGCGAAGCCACGGCAAGACCCUUGCUGGGGGCCCGACAAGACCCUUGCCGAGGACACCAGCAGGGCCGUAGCCAAGCCCACGUAUGCCAAAGCUCCACCGCCGUCCCCAAGCAGCUGCUAGCUCAACCAACUGGGCAGGCACCUGCGUGGCGACGAACAGCCUCUACACCGACCCAGCAAGCACCUGCGUGGUGGCAUGCAAGUCUUCCUGAAGGCUCCACCACCGCGCCAGCCCAGCAGCCAGCCAACGUGGCGCCAUGACGCCUCGUCAUCUCAGAUGUGUGUCAAAGCCAGGCGUGGCGGCGACAACUGGGACAUGCUUCCUUGUCGUCCCCGAUAAAGUGAGAGGGGCACGACAGCGCAUUAAAUGCGUUUGUCCGACGGUGGCAGAGGAUAGGCUCAUCCACUGUACACCUUUCCACCUCCUGUGUGCCACUGUGGCAGCCCCUUUUUCUUAUAAAAGGAGGCCCGAGGCGACUAGAGGAGGAUUUGGAUCUUUUGGGCAAAGUUGCACCCCGUAGCUAGCUCAAGAACACAAGAACACUCUCAAUACAUCCACCAAAGCAGGACUAGGGUUUUACGCAUCCUCGCGGCCCGAACCUGGGUAAACGAUCCGUGUGCUUCCUGUCAGGCCCGCUCUUUCCACAACCCCGCACCCGCCAACCGUAGAAGGGAUCCCAGGGAUCCCAUAGGUGUCGAUUUCCCCUGACAUCUUUGGCCUGCCAGGUAGGGGGUGCGCAGUUAUGAAAAUCCGGUCUAACAGUCAGCCUAGCAGUUCUUCAUCAUAAUGGCUCCCAAGAAGAAGGUGGUCACAGCGAUUGGUUUGUCGGGAGCCGGAUGGCCCGUACCGGUGCCGGUGAGCAGCGGGCCGGUCGCGGACAGAACCCGAUGCGCGGCCCGCGAGCACCAACAUCGCUCUGGCAGCCAGAGCCUGGCGAGCGGCGUUGUUCGCGCACGAGACGAUGAGCCGCACGCCGCCAAAUCCAAAUACGGAGCCGGGCCCCUCGCAGGCGGUGCGGGGCCCUCCAAGGGUGGCGCCGUGCCACCUACAGGCGGCGCGGCGACCUCCAAGUCGCCUACGCCGGCGCCCACGACGUGCUCUUCUCAGGAUGCGCGCGAUGAGCAGCGCCACCAUGCUGGGGACCCCGGGCGCCGCUGUGGGAAGAGUCCCGUGCAUCACUCACAGGACGGAGGAAGCCAGCAUGCCCGCCGAAGUGCUGGCGAAAAUGGCACACAACCGCUGGGCCGUGAUAGAGCUCCUUCUAACAUGGUUAGAAGUCGGAGCGCGCCACGGUCCGCGCAGCUUUCGCCGCCACCCACGCCAGCAAAAGCUUUGGCGCGUGCACAACUGCUCCUCGACUUCCCUCCUGCCGCAGAAAAGCUCAAUAAGUGGAGAGCCACCAUCCGAAGCCUCGUCGGCGUCGCCAACAAAGACGAGCCACGGCCAGCGGGGCCCUCAGGCCGGCGCUCCGUCGAACCACCGCACGCCAACGGUGGGGGCGGAGGUGCUGCGGCCAUGGUGCACUCUCCUCCUGCACGCCAACCGCCGCGGGUGUCAAUCCGUCGUGAUGACGUUUGUGAUAACAUUUCCAUAGCGUCGUCCCAUCCACAGACCCACCGCGACCAGCGCCAAGUUCUUUGGGAGCGAGCCCAUGAAGACGCUCGAACCACCAUCGAGCGCCGGCGCGAUACGCGCCACCAGCUAGACAGGCGGGCAGGGCCCGCUAUGGACCACCGAGCACCGGGAGGCUCCGGCAGCCUACCUUACGAGGUGGGUUGCCCAGCCUUUACCCGUGAGCUGCGGCAGUUCCAGUGGCCGUCCCACCGCACGUUCAAGCCCGGCGUCAGCGAGAAGUACAAUGACAAGAUCCAUCCGUCAGAGUUCCUCAGCAUCUACACCAUCGCGAUGCAAGCCGCUGGAGCUCGUGACGACAAGGUGCUUGCCAACUACUUCCCAUUGGCCCUGAAACCCAAUGUCAUGUCUUGGUUGAUGCACUUGCCGGCGGAUUCCAUUUCUUCUUGGUCGGAUCUGUGUCAUGAGUUCGUUGGGGCCUUCACUGGAGGCCACCAAGCUCAUGGGCAGGCGAGUGAUUUGCAUAUCAUUCCCCAAAGGGAAGGCGAAAACCUACGCAAGUACAUACAGAGGUUCAGCCGAGUGCAAUACAACAUCUCGGAUGUUCAUCCUGCCGCCGUGAUCAGCGCAUUCCAUCAGAAUGUGCGUAACCGCAAGAUGUAUGAAGAGCUGGCAAUGAACAAGGUCAAGGACGUGGCCGAACUUUACAUUCUGGCCGAUAGAUGUGCCCGGGCUGAAGAGGGAAGGAAGUACCCCAGCGAAGAUGCCGGCGCGGAAACUGACUCUACCGACGAAGACACAACUGCCCCGACGAAGAAGGGUCAGCGUCGCAACAGGAAACGCAAGGGCAAGGAUGUGCUUGCCGUCGAGGGAUCCGACGACACCGGCGCCACCAAGAAGGCCAAGGCAGACGACCCCGGCAAGGAGAUUGCGGGGUGCGCCACUUGCCGGGCCUUGGCGGCUGCCGACAAGCCAGGGGGCUCUGACAAGCAGUAUUGCAAGAUCCACCGCACCAAGGGCCACGACCUCCAGAACUGUCGACAAGUUGAACUGCUUGCUGAAAAGCAAAAAGCCGAGCAUGAGAGGAGGGACAAAGAGAAGGGUCAGGAUGGUGCCGAAGGAUCCGACAAGAAGCGUGGCGGCCAAGGAGGUCGCCGUGGCAAGGACAACCAGAAAGAGAGGCCCGCUCGGGGCCGCGACAAGAAGCAGGAAGACGACGAUCAUGACGAGGACGACGAGUCCGGCGAGCAUGAGUUCCAGAAGGCUACAGAGGCCAUGUGCGUCGAUGGUGGUGCCUCGCUGCAUACUUCUCACCGCCAGCUCAAGCAGUGGGCGCGUGAGAUCAUAGCAGCAGAGCCGUCAUUCGACGCUCAGAAGCCGCUGAAGUGGUCCAGCACGCCCAUCAUCUUUGACGCCGAGGAUCACCCUGAUCGCACAACUGCGGUCGGGUGUUGGCCGUUGUUGGUUUCACCAAUGAUACACAACCUCAAGGUGAACAAGAUGUUGGUUGACGGCGGGGCCGGACUGAACUUGAUCUCACCUGUUGUGAUCAAAAGGCUACAAAUUCCCGAUGGAGACCUCGAGGAGACGGGUACGUUUCAAGGGGUCAACCCGGGAAGGAGUCAGCCGAAGGGCAAGGUCACGCUGCCUGUGACCUUUGGAGGCGAGCUGAACUACAAGAUGUUGAGGAUUGUCUUCGAUGUAGCCGAAAUUCCCUUGCCCUAUAACGGGAUUCUUGGCCGCCCGGCACUAGCCAAGUUCAUGGCAGCAUCACAUUACGCCUACAACAUGCUGAAGAUGCCUGGGCCGAUGACCAUCAUCACCGUUACCUACGACAAGAAGGAUGCAUUGAUUUGCGCCGACCUAUUUUACCGGGAAGCAGUUGCAGCAGCUGCCGCCAAGGCACUUGCUCCUGCCGCUGAAGUCCCGGGAGGGAAGAAGAAGACCGGCAGGACCUCUCGCACCCACUCCGGCAAGCGCACCUCUUCUAAGUGUUGUGCUACCGUCGAGGACGUGCCAGAGAGCUCCACCGGCAAGAGCAGGAAAUCCAAAGCUGCGUCACGAGAGACCAAGAAGGUGUCCGUCAAGGAGGAUGGCAUAAGAGGGGCUUUCACCAUAAGAUCCACCCUCGACAGCAAAUAGGAAAGCGCGCUUGUCAUUUUCCUGUGGGCGAAUGUCGAUGUGUUUGCAUGGCAAGCAUCCGACAUCCACGACGUUCCCAAGGAAGUGAUUGAGCACCAUCUUGUUGUCUGUCCCCAUGCGCGACUCGUCAAGCAGAAGGUUAGGAAGCAAGCUUUAGAACGGCAAGAGUUCAUCACAGAGGAGAUCAGGAAGUUGGAAGCGGCAGGCUUGGUGAGAGGGGUGCUCCAUCCGACGUGGUUGGCCAAUCCGGUGGUGGCGCACAAGGCAAACGGGAAGUGGAGGCUGUGUAUCGGCUACACAGAUAUCAAUAAGGCUUGUCCUAAGGACCCCUUCCUGUUGCCGCGCAUUGACCAGAUUAUCGACUCCACGGUCGGGUGUGAUCUUUUAUCAUUCCUCAACUCCUACUCGGGCUACCACCAGAUCUUCAUGACAAGAGAAGACGAAGAGAAGACAACAUUCACCACCCCAUGUGGUACGUAUUUCUUUUUAUGGAUGCCUUUCGGGUUGAAGAGUGCUGGCUCAACGUUUGCAAGAGCAGUCCAAAUUGGUUUUGAGCCCCAGCUACAUAGAAAUAUGGAAGCUUAUAUGGAUGACAUAGUGGUCACAACCAAGGACAAGGCAACUCUUGUGCAAGACUUAGAAGAGACGUUUGCCAACCUGCGCAAGAUCAACCUCAAGUUGAACCCUGAGAAGUGUGUCUUUGGUGUUUCGUCUGGCAAACUUCUCGGGUUCUUCGUGUCACAUCGUGGGAUUGAGGCAAAUCCAGACAAGAUCAAGGCUAUUGAGCGGAUCAAGGCGCCCAAGCGGAUCAAGGAUGUGCGUCGGCUCACUGGCUGCAUUGCCGCCAUGAGCAGAUUCAUCUCCAAGUCUACUGAGCGUGCCCUUCCCUUUUUCAAAAUCUUGAAAAAGGCGGCCCCAAUGGAGUGGACCCCAGAGGCCGAGGCAACGCUACAGGAUUUGAAGAAAUACCUCUCCUCUACACCGAUACUAGUUGCGCCUAAACCACAAGAGCUGUUGCUGCUGUAUCUGGCGGCAACGAAUCAAGUGGUCAGCACCGCACUAGUGGCACAGAGGGAGGUCGGCGAAGAGGCAGUGGCAACGGCGGGGCUGGCGGAUGGCAAGCCAGAGAUUCCCCCGGCAGGGCCUGGCGCCGGCGAGGCAAGGCCCCCGGCAGAGUCUGACGCCGUCGGGACAGGUCCCGUGCAACCAGAUGAAGUGGUGCGGAGGAAGAAGAUGAUGUAGCACCCGGUUUACUUUGUCAGCUCCCUCUUGCAGGGGGCUAGGUCAAGGUACUCCGGUGUGUAGAAAUUGCUCUUCGGCCUCCUUAUGGCCUCGAGGAAGAUGCGUCAUUACUUCCAGGCACAUGAAAUCACCGUUGUCACCUGCCUCCCGCUGCAACGGAUACUGCAUAACCCGGACGCGACCGGGAGGAUCGUGGAGUGGGCCUUGGAGCUGUCAAGCUUUGGUUUGAAGUUUGAAAGUACUUCGACAAUCCAGAGCAGAGUCUUGGCAGAGUUCAUUGCGGAAUGGACCUCAACGCCCGACGAAGAGAUCCAGGAGACCACUCUUCCCGGCGAGGCGGCAAGUCGCAACUGGAUCAUGUACUUUGACGAGACUUUCUCGCUGCAAGGCGCUGGUGCUGGUGUGCUGCUUGUCGCACCCACCGGAGAGCACCACAAGUAUGUAAUCCAGAUGCACUUCCCCAGGGAGAUGUCCACAAACAACACUGCUGAAUACGAGGGGUUGCUUGCCGGUCUCAGGAUCAUGGCAGACCUCGGGGUUAAGAAGCUCAUCGUCAGGGGUGAUUCACAGCUUGUCGUCAGGCAAGUCAACAAAGAUUAUCAGAGCCCAUUGAUGAAGGCCUAUGUAGAUGAGGUGAGGAAGUUGGAGGAGCGCUUUGAUGGUAUACAAGCGGAGCACGUUCCCCGGGCGGAGAACGACAUCGCCGACUACCUGUCGAAGCGUGCUGCCUUCAAAUUACCUGUGGAACCAGGUACUUUUGUGCUUCGGUUAACUCAACCAUCCGUUGAACCAUCAAUAGAGUAGAACAAGGGGAGGAAAUCAGGCCCCGGCAAGUACUUUCCCGCCGAGCCCCCUGGGGCUGCCGACAAGGAUGUUGCCAUGGAUACUGAGCCUGCCAGGGGGCAGCCAACUCCGACAAGGCGUCAAGCCCUACCGUAGAGACGGCCACUCCCAUGGCAGAGGAAAUGCCUUUGGUCCUUGCCAUCGAGCCCCAGGCUCCGGCAUGGGCACAACAUACCGUCCGAUUCCUCAAAACAAGGGAGCUCCCUGAGGAGCAGGAAGAAGCGGAGGAAGUAGCCCAUUGGUCUGCUAUGUAUCAGUUCCUUGAUGACGUCCUGUAUAGGAAAAGGCCGAACGGUGUGAAAUUGAAGUGCAUUCCCCGGGAGGAAGGACUGGAGAUGUUGGCAGAGAUACAAUGAGGCAUAUGUGGCUCCCACAUAGGGUCGAGGGCCCUUGCCGGCAAGGCGUUCCGGCAAGGUUUCUUCUGGCCCACUGCCCUCCAGGAUGCAACGACACUAGUAACCAAGUGUGAAGCAUGUCAGUUCCAUUCGAAGAAGCUUCAUCAACUAGCUCAAGCCCUUCAAACAAUUCCUCUCUCCUGGCCAUUCUCGGUCUAGGGGAUCGACAUACUGGGCCCUUUCCCCAUGCUGCCGGGGGCUUUGAGUACUUGUACGUUGCAAUCGACAAGUUCACAAAGUGACCGGAGGUGGAGGCAGUGAGAAAGGUGACAACACAUUCAGCCAUCAAGUUCUUCAAGGGGCUAGUCUGCCGUUUUGGUGUGCCCAACAGGGUUAUCACUGACAACGGCAUGUGGUUCACAAGCCACACCUUCAUGCAGUACAGACACAACAUACCGUCCGAUUCCUCCAAACAGGGGAGCUCCUCAAGGAGCAGGAAGAAGCGGAGAAAGUAGCCCGUCGGUCUGCUAUGUAUCAGUUCGUCGAUGACGUCCUAUACAGGAAAAGGCCGAAUGGUGUGAAAUUGAAGUGCAUUCCCCGAGAGGAAGGAGUGGAGCUGUUGGCAGAGAUACACGAAGGCAUAUGUGGCUCCCUGUCGGUGUCAAAACCGGCGGAUCUCGGGUAGGGGGUCCCGAACUGUGCGUCUAAGGUGGAUGGUAACAGGAGGCGGGUGACACAAUGUUUACCCAGGUUCGGGCCCUCUCGAUGGAGGUAAUACACUACUUCCUACUUGAUUGAUCUUGAUGAUAUGAGUAUUACAAGAGUUGAUGUACCACGAGAUCGGAGAGGCUAAACCCUAGAAGCUAGCCUAUGGUAUGAUUGUUGUUGUCCUAUGGACUAAAACCCUUCAGUUUACAUAGACAUCAGAGGGAGCUAGGGAGGAGAUCUACAUAUCCGAAUCGCCAAGCUUGCCUUCCACGCAAAGGAGAGUCCCAUCCGGACAUGGGACGAAGUCUUCAAUCUUGUAUCUUCAUAGUCCAACAGUCCAGCCAAAGUAUAUAGUCCGGCUAUCCGAGGACCCCCUAAUCCAGCACUCCCUCACUCCCACAUAGGGUCGAGGGCCCUUGCUGGCAAGGCGUUCCGGCAAGGUUUCUUCUGGUCCACUACCCUCCAGGAUGCAACAGCACUAGUAACCAAGUGUGAAGCAUGUCAGUUCCAUUCGAAGAAGCUUCAUCAACCAGCUCAAGCCCUUCAAACAAUUCCUCUCUCCUAGCCAUUCUUGGUCUGGGGGCUCGACAUACUCGGCCCUUUCCCCCGUGCUGUCGGGGGCUUUGAGUACUUGUACGUUGCAAUCGACAAGUUCACAAAGUGGCCGGAGGUGGAGGCAGUGAGAAAGGUGACAGCAUAGUCAGCCGUCAAGUUCUUCAAGGGGCUAGUCUGGCAUUUUGGUGUGCCCAACAGGGUUAUCACCGACAACAGCACGCAGUUCACAAGCCACACCUUCAUGCAGUACAUCCAAGACCUCGACAGCAAGGUCUGUUUCGCUUCCGUGGCACACCCAUGGAGCAACGGCCAAGCGAAGAGCGCAAAUGUUGAAGUACUGCGAGGCCUGAGAACAAACGUGGAAAGUACUGCGUGCCCUCCCAAAAGAUUUACCGACAAACGUCCUCCACCCUCGUGGGCCCUCUCUGAAACAAACGUGGAAGACCUUAAGACACAAAUCUUCUGGGCUGCGAGACCUGAAACUUCACCGACAAUUUGAAGAGCGCAAAUGUUGAAGUACUGCACGCCCUCCACCCUCGUGGGCCCCUCGUGGCUCCCCUGACGUACUUCUUUCGCCUAUAUAUCUCCAUAUACACUAAAACGAUCGAGGAGCACAAUAGAUCGGGAGUUCCGCCGCCAUAAGCCUUUGUAGCCACCGAAAGCCAAUCUAGACCCGUUCCGGCACCCUGCCAGAGGGGGGAAUCCCUCUCCGGUGGCCAUCUUCAUCAUACCGGUGCUCUCCAUGACGAGGAGGGAGUAGUUCUCCCUCGGGGCUGAGGGUAUGUACCAGUAGCUAUGUGUUUGAUCUCUCUCUCCCUCUCUCUCGUGUUCUUGAUUUGGCAUGAUCUUGAUGUAUCACGAGCUUUGCUAUUAUUGUUGGAUCUUAUGUUUAUCCUCCCCCUCUACUCUCUUGUAAUGGAUUGAGUUUCCCCUUCGAAGUUAUCUUAUCGGAUUGAGUCUUUAAAGAUUUAAGAACACUUGAUGUAUGUCUUACCGUGCGUAUCUGUGGUGACAAUGGGAUAUCACGUGAUUCACUUGAUGUAUGUUUUGGUGAUCAACUUGCGGGUUCCGCCCAUGAACCUAUGCAUAGGAGUUGGCACACAUUUUCGUUGUGAUUCUCCGGUAGAAACUUUGGGGCACUCUUUGAGGUCCUUUGUGUUGGUUGAAUAGAUGAAUCUGAGAUUGUGUAACGCAUAUCGUAUAAUCAUACCCACGGAUACUUGAGGUGACAUUGGAGUAUCUAGGUGACAUUAGGGUUUUGGUUGAUUUGUGUCUUAAGGUGUUAUUCUAGUACGAACUCUAGGGCUGUUUGUGACACUUAUAGGAAUAGCCCAAGAGAUUGAUUGGAAAAAAUAACUUUGAGGUGGUUUCGUACCCUACCAUAAUCUCUUCGUUUGUUCUCCGCUAUUAGUGACUUUGGAGUGACUCUUUGUUUCAUGUUGAGGCAGAGUUAUAUGAUCCAAUUAUGUUAUUAUUGUUGAGAGAACUUGCACUAGUGAAAGUAUGAACCCUAGGCCUUGCUUCAACGCAUUGCAAUACCGUUUGUGCUCACUUUUAUCAUUAGUUACCUUGCUGUUUUUAUAUUUUCAGAUUACAAAUACCUAUAUCUACCAUCCAUAUUGCACUUGUAUCACCAUCUCUUCGCCGAACUAGUGCACCUAUACAAUUUACCAUUGUAUUGGGUGUGUUGGGGACACAAGAGACUCUUUGUUAUUUGGUUGCAGGGUUGCUUGAGAGAGACCAUCUUCAUCCUACGCCUCCUACGGAUUGAUAAACCUUAGGUCAUCACUUGAGGGAAAUUUGCUACUGUCCUACAAACCUCUGCACUUGGAGGCCCAACAACGUCUAUAAGAAGAAGGUUGUGUAGUAGACAUCAAGCUCUUUUCUGGCGCUAUUGCCAGGGAGGUUAGCGCUUGAAGGUAUAUCUUUAGAUCUUGCAAUAAAAUCUUUUUGUUUCUUGUUUUAUCACUAGUUUAGUCUAUAAAAUAAAACUACAAAAAAAUGGAAUUAAGUUUGCCUCAUACGCUUCAUCUUUUUAAUAUCUUUCGUGAGUAUGAUGGAAAGGAAAAUUGUGCUCAAAUACUAGAAGAAGAAUUACAUAGAAUGCUUGGCAUAAAAUAUGUGAAUGAUGAGCAUGAUUGCAAUGUUGUUAGUAUGAAUUCUUUGAAUAUCCAUGAUACUAAUGAUGAUUGCACUAGUUAUGAUGAAAAUGUCUCCUAUAAACAUGUCAAUUUUUGUGGAGUGCAUUGGGUUUGUAAGUACACACCAAAAAGGGAAGAUAGAUAUUGCAAGAAGCAUAAGUACUUAGAAACUAAAUUGUUGCAAGAAAUACUAGAUGAUUGUGCUGAAAAUUUAAAUUUUCUUGGUCGUACUUGUGGACUUUGCAAUGAACAGGGUCAUUUAGCUAUCCAAUGCAAAUUGUUCCAUGAUCUAAUCGUGUCCAAAAAUUGUGAUGACUUGAUUUCCCUUGCACAUUAUAAUGAACUUAGUUUGCUUAUGGGUUAUGAAGAAAUGAAACAUUUAACUAAUGAUCUUCCAGAAUUUGCCCAUUACAAACUUCUUGGCUUUGAUCUAGAGGAAAUUUAUGUGUAUUGUGCGGUAAAUUGCAUUGAAAAUCCUUAUAUUGCCAAUUACAUAAAAAAAUAUAACAAAUAGAAGAUGAAGAGAAUACUAAUGAAAGGGAAGAGACUUCCCAAUAUCCUCCUAUUAUUUCUUAUGAUGAAUCAGGUAACAAGGAGGAGCCUCCUAUUCAACCAAUCUCAUUAAUAAGGAGCUCCAAAAAGAGGAUUGAACCCACACAUGAUGUGGUGAAGAAUAAGAAAAGAAAAAGAAAGAGAGGUAAAAAGAUAUCUCCCCCAAAUAAUGUUGCUCCUAUUACUAUUGUGCCUCAUGAAAAUAUAAUUGUGGAGGAUAAUGAUACUUCUUAUGAUCUUGGAAAUCUUUUUGGCACUUGCUUGGAAGAAUAUGAUAAUUGCUAUACUAUUGGUGCUAUCCAUAUUAUUGAUGAUGAAAGUGAUUAUGCUUAUGAUACGAAAAGGCCCAAGCUUGGGGAUGCUAUGUUUGAUGAGGAUGCCAUAUUUGAGAAUAUAUUUGCUGAAAUUAAUGUUUGUCCCAAGCUUGGGGAUGCUACGUUUAAUCAAGAUGAUAUUUUUAGUCUCCCAAGUUUUGAUAUGCAAAUUUAUAAUGAUGAUAGCAUGCCUCCUACUCAUGAUGAUUAUUGUGAUGAUACUUAUGCUAUAAAAAGUAGUGAUUAUAUUUAUAAAACUUGUUAUGAUUAUGGUUACCCCUUUUCUGAACAUUACUCUUUUAAUGUAGAAACAAUUUAUAGUAUUCGAGCCUCUUAUGAUACUCCCACUAUUCCGAAUGAGAAGAAUCUUGCUUAUGUGGAGAGUAGUAAAUUUUCUAUGCUUGUAGAUCAUGAAAAGAAUGCUUUAGGUGCUGGUUAUAUUGUUGAAUUUAUUCAUGAUGCUACUGAAAAUUAUUAUGAGGGAGGAACAUAUGCUUGUAGGAAUUGCAAUAAUAUCAAGUUUCCUCUCUAUGUGCUUAAAAUUUUGAAGUUAUGCUUGUUUUACCUUCCUAUGCAAGUUGAUUCUUGUUCCCACAAGUUGUUUGCUCACAAAAUCCCUAUGCAUAGGAAGUAUGUUAGACUUAAAUGUGCUAGUCAUAUUUACGAUGUUUUUAACCAUAAUAAUGCUUUUUGGAGUAAUUCUAAUGCCUUUUCUCUCAUAAUAUGCAAGGUAUACACAAAGAGGGAGAAUUCCGGUAGAUGGAAAUCUGGACCUGGAAAAGCUACGUCAGGCUACCUAUUCUAAACAACUCCAAACAAGCUAAAACUUCACGGAGAAUUUUUAUGGAAUAUAUGAAGAAUAUUGGAGCAAAUAAGUACCAGAGGGGCCCCACCAGGUGGGCGCAACCUACCUGGGCGCGCCCUGGUGGGUUGUGCUCACCCAGGCCCACCUCCGGUGCCCAUCUUCUGGUAUAUAAGUCAUUUUGACCUAUAAAAAUAAGUAGUGGACUUUCGGGAUGGAGCACUGCCGUCUCGAGGUGGAACUUGGGUAGGAGCACUUUUGCCCUCCGGCGGAGCGAUUCCGCCGGGGGAACUUCCCUCCCGGAGGGGGAAAUCAUCGUCAUCAUCAUCACCAACAACUCUCCCAUCUUGGGGAGGGCAAUCUCCAUCAACAUCUUCAACAACACCAUCUCAUCUCAAACCCUAGUUCAUCUCUCUUGUGUUCAAUCUUGUUACCGGAAAUAUAGAUUGGUGCUUGUGGGUGACUAGUAGUGUUGAUUACAUCUUGUAGUUCAUUACUAUAUGGUUUAUUUGGUGGAAGAUUACAUGUUCAAAUCCAAUAUGCUAUUUAAUACCCCUCUGAUCUUGAGCAUGAUUAUUAUUUGUGAGUAGUUACUUUUGUUCUUGAGGUCACGGGAGAAAUCACGUUACAAGUAAUCAUGUGAACUUGAUGUGCGUUUGAUCUUUUGAUAGUAUGUAUGUUGUGAUUCCCUUAGUGGUGUCAUGUGAGCGUCGACUACAUGACACCUCACCAUAUCUGGGCCUAAGGGAAUGCAUUGUGGAGUAGCAAUUAGAUGAUGGGUUGCGAGAGUGACAGAAGCAUAAACCCCAGUUUAUGCGCUAUUUUGUAAGGGACCGAUUGGAUCCAAAACUUUAAUGCUAUGUUUAGAAUUUAUUCUUAAUACAUUUAUCGUAGUUGUGGAUGCUUGCGGGAGGGUUAAUCAUAAGUAGGAGGUUUGUUCAAGUAAGAACAACACCUAAGCACUGGUCCACCCACACAUCAAAUUAUCAAAGUAGCAAACACAAAUCAAGCCAACAUGGUGAAAGUGACUAGAUGAAAAUCCCGUGUACCCUCAAGAAUGCUUUGCUUAUCAUAAGAGACCGUUUUGGACUGUCCUUUGCCUCAAAGGAUUGGGCUACCUUGCUGCACUUUUGCUACUAUUAUCGUUACUUGCUCAUUACAAAUUAUCUUGCUAUCAAACUACUCUGCUACUUAUAAUUUCAGUGCUUGUAGACAUUACCUUGUUGAAAACCACUUGUCAUUUCCUUCUACUCCUCGUUGGGUUCGACGCUCUUACUUAUCGAGGAAAAGCUAUAAUUGAUUGCCUAUACUUGUGGGUCAUCACAUAUCAGGAUGUUUGGUUCCAUCUCCCGCAUAAGGAUUAGCUAGCACUUGUUCUAUCGUACCCGAAGGAAUUUCAUAACCAAUAUUUUUAGUAGGUGCAGUAGGUUGAGGGGUAACUAAUUGUGGUCCCGGUCAAGGUGAAGAUACCCUGAAUAAACCCCUCAAAGGAUUGUUUUCCAUAUUACACUACUAGAAAAAGGGCUAUAGAUGGGAUUGACACUAAUGGCGCACCAGACAAGCGGUGCGCCAUUAGUAUAUACUAAUGGCGCACCACCUUCUGACACGCCAUUAGAGCUGAAACUACUAAUGGCGCACCUGGCCCAGGGUGCGCCAUUAGUAUCAAAUUUUUUUUGAACUAGUGCGCCUGUCCAAACAUACUAAUGGCGCAUCCAGACACAGUGCGCCAUUACUAGUUGUAACUAGUAAUGGCGCACCUGUCGGAAAGUGCGCCACUAAUGUUGUUUUUUUUAUUAUAUUUUUUAUUCCUUUUUUUGCAAAACUACUAAUGGCGCACUGUUUGACGUGCGCCAUUACUAGUUUAAACUAGUAAUGGCGCACUGUGGAACAGUGCGCCAUUAGUAUGUUUUUUUUGCAAAACUACUAAUGGCGCACCACCAGAAGGUGCGCCAUUAGUAACCUGGAUUACUAAUGGCGCAUUUGGAGUUGGUGCGCCAUUAGUAAGUGGGCAGCAACAAGAUAUUUUGGACAGCCUCUCCUACCCACACUCACUUUCUCCCCACUUCAUUCUCUCCACCUCCUCCUUGUCUCGGGUGCCUCCUCUUUUUCACCUCAUUUCCAUCAUAGAUUCAUUCAAUUUAAGUGGUUAAAUUACCUUGUUUUGAUAGGUAAGUAAGGGGGGAAGCUAUAUUUAUGUUGUUCUCCCUACAACAAUGUGCACAUGCACUUUUUAUGGCCUAGCUAGAUCUAUGUAUGUUCGUGGUGUUGCAUAUGCUUGUGGUGUUGCAUAUGUGUUUGUGUUUGGAGGUGUACCGGUAUUUGAAAUGCGAUAGUUGCCAAUAUUUUGCCGGAAUGUUGAUUCAUUUCCGUUUCGGCGAGAAUUUUGGCAUUAAGCAUUCUUUUUGGUCCUAUUUUUAGGGAAAGUCAUGCCAAAAUUUUUCUUGGUUCUAAAAUAUCGUUUUGCUCUACCCCGCAGGCGACCAUGGUCCGCACGAUGACUGAAGGCAUCGUGAAUAGGUUUUUGAGGUCCGCGAAGGCCGAGAUGCUUCAAAAGAACGAGAUGGAGAUAAGAUGUCCGUGUCGAAGAUGCAAGCUGAAGAGCCUUAUUGCGGACCCGGAAUCCGAGCAGGUGCAGGACCACCUGCUCUUGCGUGGUUUCAUGGAUGGCUAUCGGUGGCAAGGUGAUGAAGAUGAUUACGAAGUCAUCCAUGGGGGCCGGGCAAGAAAUGAGGAAGGGCAGCAAGACAACCACCGCGGCUCGGGUGGGCGAGAAGACGAAGAAUCCCCAGGAGAUGAUCACAACGGUGAUGCUGUACACAGUCAUCAUGUAGAAGAUGCAGGACAUGAUGAUGAGGAAGAUGCCAGAGCAGACGACGGGCAUGAUCAUGAAGAUGAUGAUGCCGGCGGAGCAGACGACGCUGGACCAUCGAUGGGCUGGGUGCAGGACCCUCAUAUUCAAGAGCUGCUUCUCAAGCAGACGGAUAACGCAAGAGCUGCCGCCCGAGAGAAAGCCAAGAUGGAUCAACUUGAGUUAGACGCAGUUACUCCAUUGUAUGAAGGAUGCAGGCCUGAGGAUACCCACCUGAAAGUAACGCUCAUGGCUCUGGAGAUGAAGGUAAAACACAAAAUGACCGAUGCAUGCUUCGAUGAGAACAUGUCAUUCUGGCACAAACAUCUUCCCAAGGGGAACAAGUGCCCGACCAAUUUGGAGGAGGCAAAGAAAAUCAUGUGUCCUCUGGAUUUACCGCACGUGAAAUACCAUGUGUGCAUGAACAAUUGCAUCAUUUAUCGGGACGAGCACACGGAGUCUACCAUAUGUCCGGUGUGCGGCGUCACUCGAUACAAGAAGAGGAAGAAAGCUCCUCGAAAAGUGGUGUGGUACUUUCCGAUCACUCCUCGUCUGCAGCGGUAUUUCGCGGACCCUAAGGUAGCAAAGCUCCUGCGUUGGCACACGGAUAGGGAGGAGAAGAAGCGAGAAGAUGACGCAAAUGAUCCGGAGAUAGAUAAAAAAGACAAGAUGCUGAGUCACCCUAAGGAUGCGAGCCAGUGGCAAGCGUUGAACUUCGAAGAUCCAGAAUUUGGGAACGAUCCAAGGAACAUCGUGCUGGGCGCGAGCACCGAUGGAGUCAAUCCGUUUGGCAGCCAGAGAAGCACACAUAGCACCUGGCCUAUGUUUGUGUGGAUGUACAACCUUCCCCCCUGGUUGUGCAUGAAGAGGAAGUACAUUCACAUGAGUAUGCUAAUUGAAGGACUGAAACAACCAAGGAACAACAUCAAUCUGUAUCUGGGGCUGCUGAAAGAGGAGCUUGACACGCUGUGGAAAACGCCAGCCAAUACGUGGGACGCCGCAGAGAAAGAAUAUUUCCCUAUGAGAGCCGCCCUGCUCACGACGGUGCACGACUAUCUCGGUUACGGAUAUGUCACGGGGUAGGUGGUCCACGGAUUUUCUGGAUGCGUCAGGUGCAUGGAUGACACAACGUAUCGCCAGCUAGAUAGAGAUCCCGGGUCUUUGAAAACCGUGUUCAUGGGACAUCGAAGGUGGCUUCACAACGAUGACCCGUGGAGAAAAUGCAAGGAUCUGUUCGAUGGUGAAACCGAACCCCGAGGACGCCCGCGUACGAGGAGCGGCGAGGAAAUAGACGAGCUAUUGAAAAAUUGGAAAGAUUGCCCACUGCCGGGAAAGAAGCAAAAGGCGCCAGAGCCAGGAAAGAAGCGAAAGGCGCCAGAGCCGCUGCUGAAGGUAUGGAAAACAAGGUCUGUUUUCUGGGACUUGCCGUACUGGAAGAUCCACCGUGUGCCUCACAACCUUGAUGUCAUGCAUAUCACGAAGAACGUGUGCGAGAGUCUGCUUGGUACCCUGCUCAACAUGCCAGAGAGGACCAAAGAUGGGCCGAAAGCAAGGGCAGACUUGAAAUCAAUGGGCAUCAGGCAGGAGCUUCACGCUAUAUAUGAUGAUGAUGAUGAUGAGGCGAAGCAGGACACAGAAAGUCGUCGCAAAGGCAAAAAGGCCAAGAAGACCGGAAAUGACUACCCUCCCGCGUGCUUCACUCUAAGUCAGGAGGAGAUCGAGCAGUUUUUCACCUGCCUCGUAGGAGUAAAACUUCCUUACGGUUACGCGGGGAAGAUAAGCAGAUACCUAGACCCAGUGAAGCUGAAGUUCAGCGGGAUGAAGUCUCAUGACUGUCACGUGCUGAUGACGCAGAUACUUCCAGUUGCAAUCCGUGGGAUCAUGGACGCGCACGUCCGUGAAACCCUAUUUGGCCUAUGCAACUUUUUUGACGUCAUCUCUCGGAAGUCUCUUGGCGUGAGGCAACUCAGAAGGCUACAGGAAGGGAUCAUGGUGAUACUAUGCGAGCUUGAGAUGUACUUCCCGCCCGCAUUCUUCGACGUUAUGGUGCAUCUGCUGGUCCAUAUCAUGGACGAUAUCAUCCAACUCGGGCCGACGUUCCUGCACAGCAUGAUGCCAUUCGAAAGGAUGAAUGAUGUCAUCAAAGGAUACGUUCGCAACAUGUCACGUCCAGAGGGAAGCAUAGCCAGGGGCUUUCUGACCGAAGAGUGCAUCUCCUACUGCACGAAUUAUCUAGGCAUCGAGAACCCCGUUGGUCUGCCCGUCAACAGGCACCUCGGUAGGCUCGCUGGAUGGGGUCACCGUGAGGGUCGCCGCGAAAUGCAUGUCGACUUCGAGGGUCGACUCGCCGACUUUGAAAGAGCAAACCUAGUCGCGCUACAACACAUAGACGUGGUCGAUCCUUGGGUGGUAGAGCACAAAACCUUUAUUAAGAAGACGUACAAUGACCGAGGCCAACAGAGGACGGACGGAGAUAUACUCAAAGAGCACAACUCAUGUUUCACGCGUUGGUUCAAGCAGAAGCUUCUGUCGUACCCUUUACAUGAGGAUUCUUCCACGGAAGAACAACUCAUAUUCGCCUUGUCACAGGGCGCCGAGCAUAACCUGAUGACCUAUGAGGCGUACGAUAUCGACGGCUACACAUUCUACACCGAGGCCAAGGACAUGAAGAGCGAUGGUUAUCAGAACUCCGGGGUAACGAUGGAAUCCUACACCGGUAACAACAAGGACAGAUACUACGGAAGGAUCGAGGAGAUCUGGGAGCUGAGCUACGCUGGAGAGAAGGUCCCGAUGUUUCGUGUCAGAUGGGCCAAGAGCGUCCUAAAAUAAGACCGGUAUUUCACCACCAUGGUUAUACCCGAAGCCAAAUCCAAGACCGCGGGCACAAACGUCACCGUGAAAAAUGAGCCAUGGGUACUGGCUUCCCAAGUGGACCAAUGCUUCUUCAUUACCGACCCGUCAAAGCCCAGUCGUGUUGUCGUGAGGAGAGGCAAAAGGAAGAUCAUCGGAAUGGAUGGAGUAGCCAAUGAGCAAGACUUCGACAAGUACGGUGACCCGAGGAUCGAACAUGACGACGAUGAUGAAGUAGCAGCAUACACCACAAGAAGAAGCAGGACCACCCUACCUAAAGGACGUCCGUUCCACAGAAGAACUCCAUUUGCGAAAAAGGGCAAGAAGAUUGUGAACAGAUAGCUAGCUAAGAUCGAUUGUAUUUAAAUCGUAGCCUUCAUUUCUCGGUUGUAUUUCAUGGGCACUUUUUGAACUAUCAUGAAUAUUUUUAAAUUUCAUGGACACUCGAUCUCGAUCCCCCUCCAUCUCGAUCGCUAUCCCACCUCGCCAGAUCAGGCCCCCCUCGCCGCCGAGCACCCCCCGGUCCACCGGCCGCCGCCGCCGACCCCCCGCACCCUCUAUUCCCCUACUCAACCGCCGCCGCNNNNNNNNNNNNNNNNNNNNNNNNNNNNNNNNNNNNNNNNNNNNNNNNNNNNNNNNNNNNNNNNNNNNNNNNNNNNNNNNNNNNNNNNNNNNNNNNNNNNNNNNNNNNNNNNNNNNNNNNNNNNNNNNNNNNNNNNNNNNNNNNNNNNNNNNNNNNNNNNNNNNNNNNNNNNNNNNNNNNNNNNNNNNNNNNNNNNNNNNNNNNNNNNNNNNNNNNNNNNNNNNNNNNNNNNNNNNNNNNNNNNNNNNNNNNNNNNNNNNNNNNNNNNNNNNNNNNNNNNNNNNNNNNNNNNNNNNNNNNNNNNNNNNNNNNNNNNNNNNNNNNNNNNNNNNNNNNNNNNNNNNNNNNNNNNNNNNNNNNNNNNNNNNNNNNNNNNNNNNNNNNNNNNNNNNNNNNNNNNNNNNNNNNNNNNNNNNNNNNNNNNNNNNNNNNNNNNNNNNNNNNNNNNNNNNNNNNNNNNNNAUCUUAUAAAAAAAAUUAUUACUGUCUUAUAAAAAAAUUAUUACUGUCUUAUAAAACAAGUUUGAACAUAUUUAAACACAAAUACUAAUGGCGCACCGGGGUGAGGUGCGCCAUUAGUAUGGAUGUACUUAUGGCGCACCAGGGUGAGGUGCGCCAUUAGUAUGGAUGUACUAAUGGCGCACCAGGGUGAGGUGCGCCAUUAGUAUGGAUGUACUUAUGGCGCACCGAGGGGUGGUGCGCCAUUAGUAUUGUGCCGCCCCCAUCCAUAUUUCCACCCCGGCCCAAACCUAUCCCCUCUCUCUCCCUCGCCCUCGCCCUCGAUCCCCUUCCCCUCUCCUCUCCCGCCGCCGCUGCCCCGCCGCCUCGAUGCUGCCCCGCCACAUCGACGCCGCCCCGACGCCGCCUCGACCCCGCCGCGACGUCUCCAACCACCGCCGCCUGAGGCCCCGACGUCAGCGCCGCUCUCCCCGUCGCCCCACCUCGUUGGACGCCAUCACCCCGCCGCCCUCGUCGCUGGCGGCCCGGACGCCGCCCCGUCCACACCACCGUCGCCGGAGCACCACCACCACCCAGACCUCGUCGCCUCCUCCCUUGCGUUGUCGUCGUCCCCGACAUCCUCCCCGCGCCCCACUGCCCUAUCCCUACGGCCACCAUGAGCUCCCCCUCCUCCUCUCCCCCUCUCCCCCUCGCGCGCACGCGCUUACGUCGUUUAGCACAUUAGGGUAAUGCACCCCCAUCCUCCCUCCUUCCUCCGGAUAUGUUCUUCUUAGUUAUCUGAAUCUAUUCAAGUCUGAAACUGUUAGUGUGAGGUGUCUGCAACUAUUGCAAUCUUGUUGAUAAGUAAAAGAUGAUCUGAAAUUGAAAGCCCAAAUCACAUGAUUCACAAUUAGAUGAUCUGAAUCUAUUAAGCAGUUUUAGACAAUGGUAUGAUUUCUGAGUUGGACCGACCAGGAGAGAUUGUUCAUGAUUAGUAUAUCCCCAAGUUCAACUGUUGCUAACUUCCUAGCUAUAGUUCUUGAUACAUACUUAGAAUUGGUCCACUGAUUAUCUAGGUUUGAUGCACCGUAUUUGUCCCAAGGUUGUCGAUGGUUUUCACCAAUUGAUUGUGUGUUUGCAUUGCCUGCUCGUGCACUUUACUUUAAAUCUGAGCAUCCAAGUACUUAUAUUUACUACAAUAGAUCUAAAUCCAGUAAUGUCAUGUGUGAUCAAGGCUGCAUAAUUAUGUAGGGCUUAAGAGUUUCACUUUGAUGAUGAUGCCCUUUGCUGCUCAAGAUUUUUCAUAUAUGGGCACUGGAACUCACGCAUCUAUUAUUUCGCAGUGAACAUGUAACCUUUUCGCUUUUGCUCUGCAUGUGCUUCUCAGUUUGCUAGCUAUAUCUCUAGGUUCUUGAUUGGCUUCACUAGUUGAUUGGUUGUUUGCAUUGUCUGUUUGUGCUACUUUCCCCCGAGCACCCGUGAUCUAUAUCGAAGAAUGUUACUUUUGAAUUCUGAUUAUGCCGAAUAGUUGUGUAGGGGUAAGAAUUUUCACUUUGAAGAUGCCUUUGGUGUUCUAGAUGUUCCAAUAUGAGCACGAGAACUCAGAUGUCUACUAUUUGCAUUGAAUAGAUAUUAGCAGUUGACCUCUUUGCUUAUGCUCUGUCUGCGCUUGUCAAUUUGGAAAGUCAAUUCAUUUUACCUUGUACCUUAUUGAUUGAGCACUUACUAGGUAAUUUUAGCUUAAAAAUACUAGGUAAUUGCCAUCCGGAUGUGAAGUGCAUAACUAGUAUAUCCCCAAGUGCAUCUGGUGCUAGCUUCCUAGUUAUAGUUCUUGUUACAGACAGAGAGUUGGUCCACUAGUUAUGUAGUUUUUAGGAAAAUGCUAGUAACUUGUGCUUUCAUAUCCUAGUUAUGUAGUUUUUAGGCAAAUGCUAGUAACUUGUGCUUUCAUAUCUCUGUAUUGGUUCGUGUUGCUGUUGUAGUUCUUGAAUUUGUUCAGUUACCUCCUGGUAGGUUAGAUGCAGGUGAUUAGUUUUCCUAGUUUAGGGUUUUCUCAGUGUAUCAGAUUUAAUGAGUCAGCUCUGCUUUAUUCCUGUGUCUAUAUGGUUUUCUAGUGCCUUUCAUUGGAUGUUUUUAAGUGUAAUCCCCAUGUGUUUUUAGCCCUGUAUUGGUUCAGUAGGUGUUUCCUUUAUUUUGUCAGUGUUAGAUCAUCUCACUGAAUUUGUGUGUACAAGCCCUGCAGUGCAGAUGUAUUUUAGUGUAAGCUCAGCAACUUUUGAUGAAUUCUCAGUGUAAUAUACCCCAGAAUUAUAGUGCAAUUUAUCCCAUAUUUUGAGUGUAUUUGUCAGUGUAAUAUACCCUAGAAUUACAGUGUAAUUUAGCCCAUAUUUUCAGUGUAAUCUCCAUGGUUAAAUUUUCUGGUUGCAGUGCAGUUCUUGUUAUAUAUUUCUGGUUGUUAGACUGUUCAGCUAUGCAGAGUGAAAUACAAGUUCAGCAUGUCGAUAAUGAUUUUGGCAGCAGUAUGAGGCAGCAGUGUGCGGCACAAUUCCUUCAUUGGAUAAUGAUUUUGCAGGUACCCCGAGAGGCCCUUGAGUUUGCCGGAAUGUCGAUUAACUUCCGUUCCGGCAAAUUCGGGUACUCCAUAUGUCCUAUUUUCAGCAAAGGUCAUGCUGAAAUUUUCCGUGAAUUUUAGCAUGACUUUGCUAAAAAUAGGACAUAUGGGGUACUUGUGACUAAUGCAUGGGCCGGGGUAUCUUAGUAGUUAAUUAAGUAGGAUCAAGUGCCCCGACGUACUUGUGACUAAUGCAUGUCUUUUAGGGUGCUUCGGUGUCGAUAAAAACCGAAAUGAUGAAAGCUUAGGCUUUUAGGGUGCCUCGGCGUCGAAAAACCCUCAAUGAUAAAAGCUUAGCUUUUAGGAUGCCUCGGUGUCGACAAACCCUAAAUGAUGAGACCAUGAUCUUGUUCCUUGACAAUAACCAACUUUUUGACCAAACUUUGUUCCUAUUUAGAGAGAAACAUGGCCAACAACAAUGAGGUCGGGGGUUCGGGCGUCAAGGCAUUCUGGGAGCUGUCCAAGGAGAUGGAGGAACAACCUCACUUGUAUGAGGACGCCGCCUUCCCCACCGAUCCUGAGACCACUGAUGGUACCACCGAGGAUGACCCCACUGAUGCCACCACUGAUGGUGCCGCCGAGGAUGCCACCACUGAUGAUGGCGGUGCACGCACAGAUGGCAGCCAACCGAAGAGGCAACGGAAGGACCGGCGCCCGACCGUGCUCCGCACCCUCAAGGAGGAAGUUACUGAAGUGGACUCCGACGGGAAUCCAACGGCUCCCGAACGAAUAGUCAAGGGGUACUCGCUUCAGUCGGGUGCAUUCUCCGGAGCACCGCCUUGAUCAACACCGAGAACCUGAGGCAUCCUGACCGAGGGAAUUUGCGCAACCUCCUCUUCACGAAGCUGCAUGAACGAUACAAGUUCCCCGCUGAAUUUGAAAACACAAGCCUUAAAGGGAAUAAAGUGAACAAUGCUGCCCUCACGAAGAUGAGCAAGGCCCUGUCUACUUGGAAAAGCAAUGUGAAGAGAAUGAUCGAGAAAGGUGAGAGUUAUGAGAAGAUCAAGGAGAAAAAUCCUUCGAUCACCGAAGAUGACUACAAAGACUUCAAGAUCAAUUGCUCGAGCACUGCAAACUCCGAAUCAAGUAAAUGGGGGAAAGAAAUGCGGGAGCUGAACUUAGGGGAACACACACUCGGUCCCGGCGGUUACAGAGUGGCGGAGCCUAUAUGGGACAAGGAGGAGGCGGACCGUGCCGAGCAAGGCCUACCGCCCCUCUUCGAUAAAUACGGUGACAAGCAGACCAGGAACUUUGUCAGGGCCCGGUACAAGAAGGACCCGAAAACAAAGGAGCUUACCACGGAUCCGAAGACCAGGGCGCUUGAGCUUGUUCUGGUAAGGAAUACACCCCCGUGUAAUUAGCAUUAGCUCCAUAUGGUUGCAUUCUAAUUAAUGAAGCCAAAUUUCUAAAUGGUUCACAUUCCUUCCACAGGCGACUGAAAGCAGUAGCGCGGGGUCGACUAAGAGCAACCCUUGGGACACCACUCUAAAUAGGGCGUUGAAUGUAAUGAAGAACAAGGAUAAGCUUAGUAAGCCGACGUCAGCUGGUCGUGUGGCCGGCAAAGGCUUGUCGACAAAAUGGUCGUCAUACUAUAACACUGGUGGGCGAAAGGAGAAAAAGACCCAGCUCGGAAAGCCAGGCGCGCGAGGUUCAAGAACUCAGGGCACAGGUGGCGCGGAUUCCGGAGAUUGUCCAAGAGCAAGUGGAACAACAACUCGGAAGGACGAUCACCGCCAUUGUGCCUACCUUGAUCCAGGGGAUUAGUGCGUGGAUUGCGGGCGGCCAACAGGGGCCGCCCCCGAUUCCUAGCUUCACGGCCAGCAACUCUCAGAACGCGAUGUCGGGGCCAUUGGUGUCUCCGACGCCGGCACGGGAGCUUAAUGCACCCGGGUGUACGCCGGCCGGCACCUCUGCAGCAAGCGGCCCCUCCGUCAACUGCACGCCCGCCGUUGGCGGUGCCUCGACAUUAGCCGAGCUCGACGCCAUCAUCACGGUAAUUAAUUAAGCCUCUCUCGGCCGAGGACUUCAUCUCCUUGCCUUUGACUGGGCAUCCCUGACGCCCUACAUGUUUUCGCAGGGCACCGCCGACGUUCCGUGCACUCUCCUGCACUUCGUGAACAACGAGUUGGUCGAUGUCGCCAAGGGAAAAAUUGUUCAACCGGGAAACCCCUUGUUCCAUGGUACCCAGAUGCCACCCAACUUGUUUAGGGUUCAACUGGUUCGGGUGCUGCCAGGCUGCGACGAGUUGUUACCUCCGAUUCGACCCGUCGGGGCCGACGAUGAUGACGUGAUGACCCUCAGCGCCUGCCUGAGCUGGCCCCUGCUUUGGCCGAAGAGCCAGAUUCGUUUGGGGGCGGGGGACACCACCCCAAAGACAACACCGCCAGUCGUGCCGGCGCCAAGUCGGCCCCAUGGCAAGACCGCCGCAACGGUGCCGGACAUCCCUAUUCCACUGGAUCCAAACAUGCAUAUGGCACAGGAUCAGAACGACGACGAUGAUGAUACAUUUGCCAAUGUCGAUCAGUACUUUGCCGAUCAUGGGUACGGUGGCGACUUCAUGGGGCCUCCUUCUCAAGAACCCAACCCAACAAAAGACGUGCGCGAUCUAGCUGGUACCGCAGAGAAGCCAAGUUGCAACAGGCGUCGUCUGCCGUUCAACUCUCAGGAGACGCCUCCAGCUGCCGACUUCAUCGAGCCUCAGAUAGGCGAGGUGCGAAAUAUUAUCAGCCCCAACACACUCAAGAAGGCGGUCUGUGAGCAGAACUCGGUCCCAUUACAGGAGAAGAAGAAGGCACGCAAAAGAAAGACUAACAAGGGUGCGGGCCAGCCGGCACCGAGUAUGAUCCGUGCUCAGGACGGGCCACCUUCACUUGAGGAUAUCUCGAGGAGGGUGCAUGUGGCGGGUAGGCCGAUGCUACCGAGGAAUAUGCUCGAUGCUGCAACCGGUGCUAUGCGGAGUCUGCAUGACAGUGUUCUUUCUUUGGAGAAGCGGCGUCUCGGAGAGAAGGAUGUGGCAUACCCGGUUUUCGCGGCCAAGGUGCCAGAGGGCAAGGGCUUUGUGGAUAACUCCAACAGGGGUACAAUCGUCCUGCGGUUUGAUGACAUCCACGCUAUGUUGAACCUUCAUCCGCUGCACUACACCUUCGUUCGGCUAUUUUUGCUGAGUAUGGAGAUGCGGAUCAUUCGCGACAAGACCCCGGACAUCGUGAUAGUCGACCCCUUCUACAUGCGUGCCAAGAUCUUGGGCAGCGCUGGGGACCAGCAAGUCGCGACUUCUUACCUCGAAGGCGUCAUUCUGGCAAACCAAGAUAAGGAUAACUUCCUCGUGCCUUACUUUCCCAAGUAAGUCCUCCCCUCAACCGCCCCGUAACAUAUGAAUUCUUAGAUUUCGAUCGUUUUUCUUUUAACAUUCCGUGUUUUCUGCAGUGACACACAUUGCACGCUCAUCCUCCUAAGCCCCAAAUAUUCCAUGGCCACGUAUUUCGACCCGGACCAUCAGUCGAAUGUAGACUACACAAAUGUCAAGAAGGUUCUUGAUGAUGUUCUCCCCGGCUACGUCAAAUCUGGAGGCACCUUCACCAGGCCUAUUCGUAAGUACGGCAAGCACGUGUUCUCCCACAAUACGACGUUCUGCUACGUCAAGCAGCCGCCUGGCAGUCAGAAGGGUGCCUACUACGCCAUCCAUCACAUGCGGGCGAUCGUACGGGACCAUCAUCAACUUCUGCUACCGAGUAAACUCAAAGAUUGGGCCGCGAGCGUGUCGGCAAUCCAGGACGCGGACAUCAGACAAGAAUUCUUUCGCAUCCAGUCGGAGUUUGCGGAAAUCAUCCAUCAAGAUGUCCUUCGUACCUCGGGGCAGUUCUACCUCAGAAAUCAACUCUCCAAUAGUGACAUUGACACAAUGCUACAAAUGCAGGCUAACAACGACCGUUAUUUCAUGACUCCCACGAUAGACGGCGGCUUCAUCCAUGCUCCGGUCCCUUGAGUCGAGUCGAAAGCAGUGAUGCUGUGUCUAGUUCUGAAACAUCGAUUGGCUCAUGUUGUAAUUAAACUUUAAUGAACUUGUAGUAUGUCUCUUUGGUUUCGAGAGUCGUUCAACUUAGAUGUAAUCGAUGCUAUUAAUGUCUUGCUUUUCUCUUCCGAUCGUUCUGUUGCAUACUUAUAUAUUGCUUAUGUAUUGUCUGUGAAUUGGUACUAACGUUUCGUUUGGCUACUGCAUAGCGAUGCCGUCGUAUGUCGUGUACAAGGGUAAGGUUCCCGGAGUCUACGACGACUGGGAGGAGUGUCGGAGACAGGUUCACCGAUUCAGCGGUAACAGUUACAAAGGGUACACCACUAGGGCCGAGGCCGAAUCUAGAUACGCCCGCUAUCUAGCGGGAGAGGGGAGGGAGCGCUGGAGGAACCGGAUGAAGAUGAGUUUCAUUGUGAUGAUGCUCAUCGUGAUGACCGCAGCUCUCUUCUAUGUGAUGGUAGUUUAGAUGAUCGAUAUCGACUUGUAAUGUGAAGACAAACUCGCUACUCGCGGUCUCGAGACUUGUAAUAUAAUGUUCUAUCUUUGUUCGGUCUUUUCAAUUCGGAGACUAAUAUGAUGAAUUGUAUUCGGAGACUAAUAUGAUGAAUUGUAUUCGGAGACUAAUCUUCUAUUGUAUUCGAUGAAUCUGUUGUUGAUGUGUGCUGUCUAUAUUUUGUCCAAUUAUACAUUUUGUAACCUGUGCAAAAAACAGAAAAUAAAAAAAAUAAAAAAACCUAAUAUUCAUACUAAUGGCGCAUCACAUCACAGUGCGCCAUUAGUAUGCCAAAGGAUACUAAUGGCGCAUCAUUAAACAGUGUGCCAUUAGUAUGCCGAAGUUACUAAUGGCGCAUCUUGUAGUUGUGCGCCAUUAGUAUGCCAAAGCACCUGGGUAUACAUGGCCCCCUGGGAGGCAUACUAAUGGCGCACUGUUGUAUAUACUAAUGGCGCAUCUGAGGUGCGCCAUUAGUAUACCAGAUACUAAUGGCGCACCUGUGGUGCGCCAUUAGUAAAAUAUACUAAUGGCGUGGCAAUAAUGGCGCACCACUAAUGCGCCAUUAAUGGCCAAAUUAGGUGCGCCAUUAGUAGGCCUUUUCCUAGUAGUGUUAAGAAGUGACUGUAAAUUUCAGCAUGUAGUAAUAAUUUUUCCUUACCGAUUUCCACUUACCAAGAGCGCUUCACUCCUCGGCAACAUCGCCAGAAAAAAGCCUUGAUGACCCACAAGUAUACGGGACCAAUCAUAGUCCUUUCGAUAAGUAAGAGUGUCAAACCCAACGAGGAGCAGAAGGAAAUGACGAGUAGUUUUCAGCAAGGUAUUAUCUGCAAGCACUGAAAUUAUAAGUAACGAGUAGUUUGCUAGCAAGAUAAUUGGUAACGAGCAAUUAUCGAUAAUAGUAACAAAAGUGCAGCAAGGUAUCCCAAUCCUUUUGAGGCAAAGGACAGGCCAAAAUGAUCUCUUGUGAUAAGCAAAGCGUUCUUGAGGGUACACAGGAAUUUCAUCUAGUCACUUUCAUCAUGUUGGUUUGAUUUGUGUUCGCUAAUUUGAUAAUUUGAUAUAUGGGUGGGCCGGUGCUUAGGUGCUCUUCUUACUUGAGCAAGGUUCCUACUUAUGACUAACCCCCUCACAAGCAUCCACAACUAUGAGAAAAAGUAUUAAGAAUAAAUCUAACCAUAUCAUUAAACUUUUGGAUCCAAAUCAGUCCCUUACGAAAUAGCGCGUAAAAUAGGGUUUAAGCUUCUGUCACUCUUGCAACCCAUCAUCUAAUAACUACUCCACAAUGCAUUCCCUUAGGCCUAAAUAUGGUGAAGUGUCAUGUAGUCAACAUUCACAUGACACCACUAAGGGAGUAACAACAUACAUACCAUCAAAAUAUCGAACACAUAUGAAGUUCACAUGAUUACUUGCAACAAGAUUUCUCCCGUGACCUCAAGAACAAAAGUAACUACUCACAAUGAUAAUCAUUCUCAAGAUCGGAGGGGUAUUAAAUAGUUUAUUGGAUCUGGACAUAUAGUCUUCCACCAAAUAAACCAUAUAGUAAUCAACUACAAGAUGUAAUCAACACUACUAGUCACCCACAAGUACCAAUCUAUAGUUCCAGUACAAAGAUUGAACACAAGAGAUGAACUAGAGUUUGAGAGGAGAUGGUGCUGUUAAAGAUGUUGAUGGAGAUUGCCCUCCCCAAGAUGGGAGAGUUGUCGGUGAUGACGAUGAUUUCCCCCUUCGGGAGGGAAGCUCCCCCGGUGGAAUCACUCCGCCAGAGGGCAAAAGUGCUCCUGCCCAAGUUCCGCCUCGAGACAGCGACGCUUCAUCCCAAAAGUCCUCCCCUUAUUUUUUCUAGGUCAAAAUGACUUAUAUACUAGAAGAGGGGCACCGGAGGUGGGCCGAGGAGGGCACAACCCACCAGGGCGCGCAUGGGCUCCCUGGCGUGCCCAGGUGGGUUGUGCCCACCUGGUGGGACCCCUCUGGUACUUAUCGGCUCCAAUAUUUCUUAUAUAUUCCAUAAAAAAUCUCUGUGAAGUUUCAACUCAUUUGGAGUUGUGACUGACAUAGCUUUUUUAGGUCCAGAUUUCCAGCUGCCGGAUUCUCCCUCUUUGUGUGUGCUUGCAUAUUAUGAGAGAAAAGGCAUUAGAAUUACUCCAAAAACAUUAUUGUGGAUAAAAAAUAAUAGUAGGAAAACACGAUGCAAAAUGGACGCAUCAUUCACCCAAAGUAAUUUCCAUAAAAGUACCACCCGCGGCGGAAUGUAAAAGAUUUCUAGAAACAAAAUUCAACCCAGCAUAAAAAAUUUGUAUGAUCAUCCAAAGAUUUAAACCAUGUGUAGGACAAUUUCUUAGCAUCAAUUUCAUUCUUUCCCAAGAUUGCGCAACAUGUUCAUGGUCAAGUUGCUUAAAAUUCAUGAUUUAUGUCCUAAGGGGAAUAAUUUUUGCGAGCGGAAAAUACUUAGUAAUAAAAGCAUCCUUGCACUUAUCCCAAGAAUCGAUACUAUUUCAUGGCAAAGAAGAAAACCAAAUAUUUGCACGAUCUCGCAAAGAAAACGGGAAUAAUUUCAAGUUCACAAUAUCAUUGUCCACAUCUUUUUUUCUUCUGCAUAUCUCAUAAUUCCAUGAAUGUGCUAAUAUGGGAUGCGGCAUCCUCAUUACGAGUAACAGAAAAUUGAUCUUUCAUGAAAAGAUUCAUCAAAGCGGUAUUAAUAUCACAAGACUCUGCACUUGUGGAGGGAGGAGCAAUCAGAGUGCUAAUAAAAUCAUUGUUGUUGGUAUUGGAGAAAUCACACAACUUGGUGUUCUCUUGAGUCAUCGUGACUAUGCAACAAGAUUGCACUCAAAAACGGAUCUGACGAGAAAACGACAGACGAAAAAGAGGGCGACUAAAACGACAAUUUUUUGUGAAGUGGGCGAGAUGAAAAUGAGAGGCAAAUGGCAAUUAAUGUAAAUUGUAAGGAGAUGAGAUUUGUGAUUAGGAACCUGGUAGAUGUUGUUGAUGUAUCGCCGGCAAUGCAGCCAGAAAUUCCUUUUGAUGCGGCUUGAACUACGUCGGUAUUUCCCCAAAGAGGAAGGGAUGAUGCAACACAGCUACAGUAGGUAUUUCCCUCAUUGAUGAGACCAAGGUUAUGGAACUAGUAGGAGAACCAUGUAACACUACGUGAACGGCACCUGCAGACAAAGAACAAAUACGUGCAACCUGACGUAAAAGUGGAGUUGUCAAUCCCUCCCGGGUAAAAGAUAGGUAAAAUUUGUAGUAGAUUGGAUAAAUAGAUCUCGCGGGAACGUGAGAUAAAAUAAAUAAAUAAAAAUUGCAGCAAGGUAUUUUUGGUUUUU
rnacentral:lncRNA from 1 species